UCUCUUAAUAGGUGAUCAACUCCUAAUGGUAACUACAAGAUACUCCUAGAUAUACUAGGAUUUACAUAAUCACAUUCCUAAUCUGAUACAACUGCAACAAAUAUGAAGAAAAAAAAUGGUAUUAAUAUUGCGUGGCUUCCAUGCGUUCCUCACAAAUGGGAAAAAUAGAUGUAAAAAAAAUAAAUACACUAACCUAAAAGUUAGCUUACUCAUCAGUCUAAUAUGGAAUGUAAAUUGGGGGUAGCAAUGUACUCAAUAGGUUUAAAAUUGAAGAAAUAAAAUAUUAAACAAAUGCUUAUGGUUUUUGAUCUUUAAUCUAACUUUCUAUUGAGGGGAAACAACACAUGUGAAUAAAGCAAAUGUUAGUCAAUGGUGUUGGGUCUUUUUUCUAACUUUCUAUUGAGGGAAACAACAUAUGUGAUUAAAGCAAGUGAUUUAAUGAUUUAUAUCUUAGGGACUAGGCUAGUCUUACCAUAGUAUACUUUAAAUAAUAUCGUUAAUAAUACUAAUAUAGUAUGAGUGUAAUCGUGUAAUAAGACAAUCUUAAAUUCUUAAUAGAAAGCAUAGCUGACAGAUAAGAUGCAUAUAUACCUUCCACCAAAUGCAGAAAAAAAAAUAGAGAUACAAUGUAUUCAUAUCUCGAUACACUAAAAUGGACAUGAUUCAUAUCUAUUCCAUAAAGAAUGCAAAUAUUCCACAUUUUUCGAAUAACGUAUAUUCACAAUAUGACUUGGGCUAAAAUGAAGUCCUGUCUAAUUCACAUUCGCCAUGUGGACAUGACGUGACAAAAUAAAAUGAACCUGGGCUAAAAUCAAAUAACAUGACGCCCACAAAUAAUGAAUGAUAUCGAGCCAGCCCAACUGUAAGGUUAUGGGGUCAAAUAACACAAGUCUCACACUUGGUCAUAUCCAUCCAACCUAAAACAAUGUUCCAUCACAGUUGGAGGUUGUGGGUUUGAACAAUGCAACUCUCACACUUGGUCUAUAAUUUUACAAAAUUAAGGCGUUUUUUAAGAUGCAAACUUUGCGUGCGACCUUGCAUUAGAAACGCCCUUAGAAACGCCUACAAAAUUGAAGUUGAACUUGAAACAAAUCCCUCCCAGUUGCAUUGCACCAUUCACAGUCAUAAAGCAGAACAGAACGCCGGCCGGCACGGCCUCCAUCGAAUCCUUCUCCUGCGGGGGUCUCUUUCAUCUCUGGUAAUUUCUACAACAAUUAAUUAAAUCUUUAAUUAAUAAUCUAAAUCAGUUUCUAUGAUGAUUAUAUAUAUAUAUAUAUAUAUAUAUAUAUAUAUAUAUAUAUAUAUAUAUAUAUACGCGCACAACCCCAUGUAUAAUUGAACCUUGCUUCCAAAAAUUAAUCAAAGUUUUGAUCUAAAAUCUUAAUCGGUGUCCUGUAUAUGAUUUUUUUUUCUUCUUAGAAAUCUUAAUUAAAAAGUUUUAUAAUUUGUCGUGUAAGGGAGAGCGCGAGUAGUGUUGCAGCAGCAAAAUGAAAAUGGGACAAGAUAUGUUGGUGAAAAUCCUGCUAACUCUGCCCCCCAAAACUCUGAUGCGAUUCAAAUGUGUCUCUAAAUGGUGGUUUGCUCUCAUCAACAAUCCGGGUUUCGUGUCAAAGCACCUCUCCAACUCUGCAAACAACAAUCUCACCACUCUCCACGUCUUUUUGGCACGAUUAGUAGUGCAGCGGCAACAUGAGGAGGAGGAGGAGGAGGAGGAGAACCCCAAGUGUAACAGCACCACUAAGAAGGAGGAGACUCCAGAAGUAUUAUCAAUUCUUGGGUUUUGCAAAGACGACGAUAAUACUGAUGACGAGCAUAGCAAUAGCUGCUCUCUUGUUGGUGUCCAGGACAUCAUUAUUCCUCAAUCUUUUAUUCAAAAGAUCAGAGUCCCGGAACAACCAUUUUGUAUCCUAGGCCACUGCAAUGGCAUUGUUUUACUAUCUAGUGACAGUAGCCUAGUUUUAUGCAAUCCCGGACUUGGGGAAUUCAAUCGUAUUCCCGAUGAGCCAUGCCUUCCAUUGUGGCCCUUGGACCUGCCCGAUGAUCACGAUGGGCAAGAACAUAUGGAAACUGGUUUUCAUAUUGGAUUUGGCUAUGAUCCCGUGUCUAAUGAGUGCAAAGUUGUGACCUUUACUACUUAUUUUCAAGAGGUAGAUGAAGACUGCCGGACUUUUCUUAGUCGGCACAGAGCAGUAGUAUACACCACGGGUUGUGAUUUUUGGGAAGAGCUCAACACAGAUUCUUUAGAAACCGAAACUACUUUGUUUUGGCCUGAGUAUUUCCAGAUGCCCUUCAAGGGAAUGUGUUAUUGGCUGGGAUAUGAGCAAGAUAAGGAAUUAUUUCCAUUUGACGCAGUUGAGCAUCGAUUCCGUGCGAAUGGGGGAUUGAUCAUUUCCUUCGAUGCAAGUCGUGAGGUAUUUCACGGUAUACCCUUUCCAUCUGAGCUCCAACCGUUAAACCGGUCGGAUCACCUUUAUACGAAGCUUACUGUUUGGAAUGAAUCAGUUGCUUUUUUUGCCCUUGGUGUGAACGAUCGUCGAUAUCCUGAACCUUAUGAAAUGUGGGUGAUGGAUGAUGACUUUAAGGGUGCUUGGACAAAACACUUUACUAUUGAGGGCACAGAUGAUCAGAUACGUAGGUCUAGUCCUGUGGCGUUGUGGGGCGAUGAGUGUCUUAUGGUUGACAGUGAUGGGCACGUAGUUUUCUUUAAUCUUUGUACCAAAAAGCUUAAGCACACUCCCAUUGAAACAGUAGAUAAUAAUAUUGUUGUUUAUGUGAAUAGCAUAGUUUCGGUCAUGGGACGCAGCCACAAGCUUAAGAGCAUAGAGAAUACUUGCUCAGAUAAAGAUGAAGAUGCGAUGGUGGUGGUAGACGGGAAGAGGGAAAGCUGCCGGAGGUUGUACUCAUAUUCGAUUUGGGCCAUUCCACCGGCUGAUGUUUCUCGUAGAAUCAAGAAGCUGAUGGAGAGCCUCCAGGCAGAGUUUGGUGGGCCGGAGAUUGAACCUCACAUCCCCAUCUUGGGAUCUAUCCAGAUGAUGAGUCGGGAGGAUGCCCUUAACAAGUUUAGAUUUGCUCCUAUGGAUGACAUCGUUGCUAAAGUUGAUCGGGUGAUUACUAAGAAUUACUAUUACCAGUGUGUUUCACUAUUGAUGAAUCGAAAGGUAUAUAUUUUGUCGAUCCCUUGUUAAUACAUAUUCAUUUUCUUGAUGUUUUGUUUUGUUUUGUUUUGUUUCCUUUUCAUCUUUCUCGUUUUGGUUUGAGCUUGAAUAGACUCACUUAUCAUUACACCUUUUCUUAGUUAUUUGAAAAUGCCCAACGUUGGAGCUACCAUUUCGGUUUCUACAACAGUAAGUUGUUGUUUACAGUAACUUAAUUUCUUAAAGUGUUGACGGGAAUGUACGUAUGUAAUCUGCGUGUCUGAAAUAUUUGAUGCAGGUUCUAUGCCAUAUUUGAGUCUCCUCUACGGGAAGUUGACGGAAGAAGAAAGGAAAAAAGCUGGAGAAAUUGUUAAUAUUCUCGACGAGAGCAUUACUGGCUUAACCUUCCCCAUAACUCACUUUGCAUUGUAUGAAAUUGACAACGAUGACAUAUCUCUAAAAUCUUGGACCAAGAUUGCUGAAAUCGGUCGUUAGACAAGUUCUCCGGUUGCAUAUAUAUGCAUAGCACAUUAGCACUUGGCACUACAAAAAAUAUGGGCACUAGGGACUAAAUUAUUUGUGCCCUUUGAGGCCGAAGAGCACCAACAUAUGUGCUCAUAGAAAAACAGAAACAGUGCAGCAACAAUAAUUCUAUGUGUGACCUUUAUGAGUGUGUCCUUUGGUCGAAGGGCACAAUAUAGUUGUUUGUGUUAUUAAGGCAAAGCACAAUAGAGCCUUAUUUGUGACUUCAUUCUGACAGGUCUGACGACCCUUCUCAACUGAUUGGGCACGUCUGUGUAGUCGUGCCCUAUACCAAAUUUAUUUAAAAAGAAUUGAAUUUUUUUUUUCACAUGACUUACAUCCGGGUUCCUGCCCACUCACAUACUAAUUGUAUCGAUCUAUAAUUAAAAAAAACCUUAAACUGCAUCAGUUGAGAAGAAAAUUGAAAAAAAGAAAGAAAAAAAAAAACCUUAAACUCAAAUUCACGAAUUGGGUGAGGUAUUAAGAUUAGAAACAAUAUCUGAAGAGAAAAUAGAAUGAGUUUAACUAGGUAAUAUUAAGCGAAUGAAGUUGUCUAACAUUUUACAAGAUAACAGCAUCUAAAAUCUACCAAAAUUGAGGUCCUCCUAUCUCAACCUCCACAUGAAUAUCAUCAAGUAUUAGCGCCAAUAUAUUUCUCUGGACAACCUCCAUUGCCAUUUUUUCUGCUAGCAUUAUACACAUUAUUGGAAGAAGUAUGUCAACUAGGGUUAGGUUGCAUAUCCAUUGUACAAGUUGUUAACCUAGUCUUAGGGUGAUGUUUUGAUGUACCGUGUAGAAUGGCUGUUUUCUGCCAUCUUUUGCAUUGGUAUCACCAAUAGUUAGUCUCUUGUUGUCACUCCCCUUAAUUCAAGGGAUGUGUAUCUUGUUGAUUUUUAAUUUGUUUGUUAGCUUUAGGCGUAAAUCAAGGAGGGAUACGAGGUCUUGUUCCUACUGUUCACACAUAUAUAUUGGUUAGGUCUCUUGUACUUCUCUUUAUGAUGAAUAUACAACUUACAAAAUACAAUAUGGUAUCAGAGCAAUGAUCGUAACCGGCCUAUCUCUGUAUAUUUUCUUCAGAGUUUUGUGAGCUUAUUCUUUUUCUUCAAACAUGGCUGAAGAGAGCUCAGUGAAUUUAGAAGGUGACAGCUCCUAUGCUGCUCCAUCAUCACCUCGUUCAGAUGUUGAUAUCAACCCAAAUUAAUGCCUUAGUUAUGUCUUACUAAAUGAGUAUAACUACCUUCCCUGGUAGAAAGUAGUUACUCUUGUUAUGGGAGGACGAUCAAAGCUUGGUUAUGUCAAUGGUGUUAUCCCAAUGCCCGAGAUUACCUCACCAAAUUAUGAUGCUUGGCUAUGCAAAGACCAAUUGGUCAUGUCGUGGUUACUCAACUCCAUGGAUCGUAAGAUUGCAGAAAUUUUCAGCUAUGCUGAAUCCUCCAUGACUCUUUGGAAAAAUCUCAAAGUCAUGUACGAAAAUCAAAAUAAUGCGGCUCGUGUAUUUCAGUUGAAGAAGGAUAUUAUUGACUUGCAACAGGAAGGAAAGUCAUUUGUGCAACACCUUGGAAAGUUGACCACCAUGUGGAAUAAGUUGAAUGUGUAUCGGUCACACACCAUCGACACUGUUGUGUUAACUAAGAGAGUUGAGGAAGACAAAAUAUUCCAACUUCUAGCAAGCCUAAGUCCUGAAUUUGAAGAUCUUCGAAGCCAUAUUCUCAUGAAUCCCGACCUGCCUUCUUUCUCAAGUUUGGGUGCCAUGAUUCAAAGAGAAGAAGUUCGCAGGAAGGUCAUGAACUUGGAACUAAAGGCAAAUAUACGUGAAGUUAGGGCCUAUUUUUCUAACCCCAAACUUGGUGAGGAAAGUGGCUACAAAGGAAGGAAAUCUGGCUUAAAAUGUAGGCAUUAUGAUGCUGGUGGGCAUUCAAGAGACUGAUGUUGGAUUCUUUAUCCAGAGCUAAAGCCAAAGUUUCCUAGGGACAACAAGGGAUUCUCUAAGGGCUCACACAACCUUUCUUACAAGGCAAAUCAUGUUGCCACAACUUCUUCUGAGGGAGCACAGAAGUUCACCACUAAUCUGGCCGCACUGAUCAACGAAUUUGCUAUGUUCCUUCACAAGAAACAAGGUCAUGGAGAUAAUGAAGGACCAACAAAUCAGUGUGACAACAACCAAAUUGCCCUAUUAUGACAGUUUGAUGGCUUCCUGGCUGAAAAUGAAGGUGUGGUACAACGAGACAUCCCAAGUAUCCUACACUCCUUCUCAAUUGCUUUCAAAGUUGGUAAUGUGCAUGAUUAUUGGAUUAUAGAUUAUGGAGCCACUGAUUAUAUGACUAACAAGUCUAUAAACUUGCAUAAUUUUGAAAAACUUUCAACUCCAUCUCAAGUGUCAAUUGCCAAUGGCAAUGAUGCUAUGGUUGUAGGAAAAGGGAAAACACAUUUGAUCUCAAGUGAUGUCAAGUCUAAGGCUCUUUAUGUUCCAUCAUUCCCCUUUCAACUUUUAUCUGUUGGCAAGAUCACAAACUUAUUAAUUUUCUUGCUAUUUUCUCUCCAAAAAAUGUUAUUUUUUAGGAUCUAGUCACCAAGAAGACGAUUGUUGAAGGAUUUUUCUUAAAUGGUCUCUACUACAUUUCCAAGCAUAUUCAAGUUCCCAAGGUUUUUCAAGCCACUUCAAGCUUAGUUCAACAACAACAAUAACUUUGGCACUAACGACUAGCAUAUCCUUCUGAAAAAGUCUUAUCCACCUUGUUCCCAAACCUGUGCAAAAUUACAAGUCCUUGUGACGUCUGUCACUUCUCUAAGUUUACUAGAUUACCAUUUACUUCCUCUUUGUCUAGGGCUAGUAAUCCUUUUGAAAUCGUGCAUUCUGAUGUUUGGGGACCAAUUCUAGAGUCUUUUGAAAUAUUUUGUAACUUUUGUUGAUGAUUUCACAAAGAUCACUUGGUUGUACCUUUUGAAAUUUAAAAGUGAAGUGAUGAAUGUUUUUCAAGAUUUUCAUGUACUUGUGACCACACAAUUUGCUUCAAACAUUCAUGUUUUAUGAUCAAAUAAUGGCACUGAAUAUAUGUCCCAUAACAUGUCACAAUAUCUGAGCAUGCAUGGUGUAUUACACCAAACAAGUUGUGUUGGAAUACCCCAACAAAAUGGGGUAGCCGAGAGGAAGAAUAGAGAUCUACUUGAGAAGACUAGAGGUCUUAUGUUUCACAUGAAUGUGCCAAAGAAAUUUUGGUUCCAAGCAGUCCUCAUUGCAGCAUAUCUCAUCAAUAUAUUGCCUAAUAAAGUGUUGAAUUUUAAAUCACCUUAUGAGGUCUUGAAAGACAAAAAGAUCAACUUAUCUCAUUUGAAAGUCUUUGGGUGUACAUGCUUUGUUCACAUUCAAGCACAAAAUCGUGACAAGCUAGACCCAAGGACUGCCAAAUGUGUCUUUCUAGGUUACUCAUCCACCCAAAAAGGUUACAAGUGUUACAAUCCAACAACUAGAAAAAUGGUUGUUUCAAGGGAUGCUAAAUUUGACGAACAUGUUUCUUACUUCUCAUGACCAUUGGAUUACUCUAGAUAGGGAGAGCAUUUGCUAGAUUUAUUCCCAAUUCCAUAUCCAAAUGGAGAAGAUACAACAUGCAUUCCUAGUGAUCAUGUAUUGGAUGUUGCCAAUCGUUUGUGAAAUCCCGUUUCUGGAUUUCACUGUUAUAAUCUACGUAUUUGUAUUAUUGAGAUUUUAUAUUAUUUUUCAAGAAUUUAUUUUAAUUUGUUUGAAUUUAGAUUUUUUUAUUAAACUAGUUACGAAAAGAGAAGUUUGGAAAUUAUUUAUUUAAAACUCGUAGGCAUUUCGAGGUCACAAUUUAUAUCUUUGGAUAGAGCUCGAUAUCACGAACACGAAGACACAAACCGUUCGUGAAACAGAGCUAUAACAAAGAAAUUAGAGACAUUUUGGUAUUUAAAAGAAGAAAAAAAGGACUGGAUGCUGCCCGGUGGCAGCGAGAGAGAGAAGAAGAUGAGGUUGCGGGAGAGAAAAGGAGGGGAGGAGUGACCAAUGGGAGGGGGAGAAAGGAGGGAAAAUGAGAGACCCGAAAUGGGUCAUUUUUGACCCACGAACCACCAUUUUUGAUCCAGCCAUAUCUCCUUCAUUCGACUUCCGUUUUGGGUGAUCUUGGUGUCCAUGGAAAACUCUUGACGAGUCCUACAUCUCUGUAGUGUUAGAUUUCCAUUUUUAUUUUUCCAUUUUUAUAGGUUGAACCAUAAACUGUCAAGGGUUUUCCAACGAGUUUUCUCAUUCUACGGUGAUUCCGACAAUGAUUACCGUCGAUCGCCACCACCAAUAGACUCCCCUCAACCCCUGGAGCAAGUACCAAGCAUUGGAUGAGGCGUUGAAGUUCUUUUUGGUGAUGAAUCGAGGAACACCCAUUUCUAGGGUUUCCGGCGGGUUUGGAUGAAAUUGGGACACUUCCCGGCCGAAUGGGACUUGUCCACAGGUAUGAAAAUUUCUCCCCUAACUGAGAUCUAAUUGUUUAUAAAGUUUGGUAAUUUCCAAAAAUUGUUGAAUUUUCCGGCAAGUCGGGACAACCGAUCGCCACAGGCGGAAGCGUGUGCGGCGGCGCUCUGGCCAGUGGGCCGACGAUAUCAUUCUAAGUUCAAUUAGAUGUCCUGAAUUUGUAUUUGAUAUUCGUAUGACGUAGUUUGAUCAUUUGAACAUAAUUUCACUAUGACACAUUACUUGAUCAAAAUAUGAAUCGACGAUCCGACCGUUGGAUCGUCUCCAAACUUUCAUACAAAAUAGAACGUAAUAUUUGAGGAUAUUAGGAACUGAUGGAUCAGGAAUCCAACGUACGGAUCUUCCCGAAUUGGAUUUCUAAGUUUGUAAAACAAAUUGUUGAUCCCCACCUAAUUCUAGCAAUUGGCAGAUAUCCGACCGUCGGAUCGUGAUGAAAUUUUAAUUUGUUGUUCUAGAAGAAUAAUGUGUGUUUUAGGAAGUUACGGAUCUGAAAUCUUAUGUGAAAAUCUAUCGGAUCAAAUUACGUAGGGUUGUGGGCCCCACCGUUGAUAGAGAGUUGACUUUUGAUCAACAUGUCUCAAAUCGUUUAUAAAACUAAAAUUAGUAUUAAUAGAGGCAUAGUGAGACUAUGUGGGCUUAUCUCGGUGAGUGACUUUAAUAUAUGUGAUAUGGUGAUUACCUAAUUCUUUAUAUUAAUAUCCUUUGUAGAUAUGACUUGAUUUUAUAAAUGUGUUUUAUGCUAAAAUGUGAUUCUUUUAUAAUUGGCCAUCGAUCUAUUUUUAUUAAAUGUGAUUUGAUUCAUGGAUUGGUAAUAUUUGUGAAAAAGUGAUUCGAAUUGCAUAUCGAAAUAUUUGUUAAAUUGAGGGCUAGUAUGGGCUAUGACCCUACUUGGUUAAUCUGCGAUAGGGGGUCACUAGUGAUCCUGCUUGGUUAAUCCGUGGGGGACCAUAUUAUUUAUGGAUCGUGCUUGGUUAAUCCGCGAUAGGCGAUCCUUAUGACCAUGUAUACUUAUGAGUGAUCAUGAUUGGUUAAUCCAUGAUGGGUGAUCGUUGCCUAUGACCCUGCUUGGUUAAUCCGCAAUAAGGGACCAUGGUCCUGCUUGGUUAAUCCGCGAUAGGGGACCAUAUUUUCUAUGGAUCGUGCUUGGUUAAUCCGCGAUAGGCGAUCCUUACAUCUUUGAUAUGGUCAUACACACACACUUGGGGGUGAUCAUGCUUGGUUAAUCCGCGAUAGGUGAUCACAGUCUAACAGAUGCGUAGGAGUGACUCUGCUUAGUUAAUCCGCGAUAGGGGGUCACUACCUACGUGGUUACUGUAGGGGUGGUUCUACUUGGUUAAUCCACGAUAGGGGACCACUUCCUGGUUGGUUACUUAUGUACGCUUCUGCUGAACUGCGUCCCUCUAGCCCUAGUUUUUAAUGUACAUAUGAACAAUGGUUUUAAGAGUCUUGUGGGUUAAGUUAGAAAAACUGUUGGAUGUCUGGGUGACUCCUACUGAGUUUUCAACGACUUGAUUAUGAUUCCAUAAAACAUGAUUAUAUACUUGAUGUUCAUAGAUUGUGAUCGACGGUCUGUUUUAAUUGAAUAUCACAUACUUGUAUUAUUGUCACUCACCCGAGCUUUGCAGCUUAUUCGAGUGUCUGAUUUGCCCAGUGUGCCAUCUCCUUGAUGUAGGCAUGAUUGUACAUAUGACAGGUCUAGGUAGAUUACGAGAAGCAGCUUGGUAUUUUAGUUCCGUUGAGUGGUCCGGAACCCGAGAUUGUUAGAUUUCGUUGAGUGGUCUGGAAUCUUUGCUCUUGCUCAUUUCCAUAAGGUUAGUCUAGAACCCUAGGUUCGAUUGAAUGGGAAUAGAUGUUGUGAAUGUAAAUUAGAAUUACCAUGUUUAUUACUCAUAAUCCAAGUAGGGAAUUAUAUAGAGUUCUUUAGUUAAAUUCGUGAAAUGAUAAGUUAUCGGAUUGAUUGAUUAACAUAAAUAAAUGCUAAGAUCAUGCAUUUUUUAUUCAUGAAUUGAUUAAUUGACGGGGUUGCGGAAUGACUUUGGAUAUGGAUGUUAUUAUUAUGAUUAUUUUAGUUGAUCAAUGUGGCUUGAGAAGAAUAUUGUGCUUUGUCAUUGGUUCUUUGACAUAUUGCAUGGUAUGCAUUGUGGUAUAUUGUUGAGACAUAGCGAUUUAUGUGAUGGAUGUUCGAGUGUAGUGAAAUGACAAACUACGAAUGGCUUGAUCCCUAUUGAGGGUACGUAGGCAGUCUAACGGGAAGUUAGAUGCAGCCAUAAAGUGUACGAAAAAUUACUACGCAAUUCGAGGCUUGGGAUGUGCUUGGUACAUAUCCCGGAGGCGGGUAUGUUAGAUAUACGGUUAUUUGAUGAUGUCACGUGUCGAUCCUGGAUGUAUGUCAGGAUCGGGGCGUGACAUCGUUACUUGGUGCCACAUGAGCAGGAAACUCCUCCAUUAGAGACUCAACUUGCACCUUCCAAUGCUCUUUCCAACCAUGAUAUUAUUCAAUUGCCUGCAGCUCAAUCUCCUCCAGUUCGUCGCAAUCAUGCUCGUGAGAGGAAACUUUCAUCUAAGUUACAUGAUUAUGUGACCUGCAAUGCCAAGUACCCCUUGACUGAUGUUAUUGAUUAUAGCAAAGUCUCACUCUCUUUUGCUGCAUUCCUAAGUGCCAUUAAUGAAGCUCGCGAAUCACAAAGUUUUCAAGAAGCCAAUCUUCAUAGUGAGUGGAGAAUUGCCAUGGCAAAGGGACUUCAAGCUCUUCAUGAAAAUCACACAUGGACCAUAGUAAAACUUCCAAAGAAAAAAAGGCAGUGGGGAGCCGUUAGGUGUACAAGACUAAGUUUCAUUUAGAUGGCACGAUUGAAAGGCAUAAGGCUCGCUUGGUUGCUUGAGGAUUUACACAAACCUAUAAGGGUUGAUUACAAGGAGACUUUUGCUCUCGUAGCAAAAAUGAAUUUGUUAGGGUGUUGUUGUCAGUUGCAAUCAACAAUGUAUGGCCUCUCUUUCAAAUGGAUGUUAAAAUGCUUUUAUGCAUGGUGAACUUGAAGAAGAAGUUUACAUGAAGCUUCUCCCAGGUCAUUCUCAAUCAAAUAACCUAGAAAUGGCGUGCAAAUUUUAUAAAUCCAUCUAUGGUCUCAAGCAAAGCCCACGUGCAUGGUAUGCCAAGCUUAGUCAUGUUCUCGAAAUGGUUGGUUUUUGUCGAAGCACUGCGGAUUCUUCCUUAUUUGUUCGCUCUAGCUCAAUGGGUAAACUCAUUGUGCUAAUUUAUGUUGACGAUCUAAUUGUGACAGGCGAUAAUAUGUCAGAGAUCAAUGCUCUUAAACAGUAUCUCAACAACAAGUUUCAAUCAAAGAACUUGGCACUCUUAAAUACUUUCUAGGAAUCAAGAUGACACACUCUCACAAAGGCUUCUUCCUCAACCAACGCAAGUAUGUUAUUGAUCUUUUUCAUGAAGCAAAUAUGACAUAUUGCAAGCCUGCUCGCACACCCUUGGAUAGCAACUUGAAGCUGAAAACUCAUGGUGAUCCUAUUCCAAAUUUAAGCUACUAUCAAAUAAUGGUUGGCAAACUCAUUUAUCUGACUAUCACACGUCAUGAUAUAUCAUAUGCCGUAAGUUUUGUUAACCAAUUUAUGCACUCUCCAACAAUUGAUCAUUUGAAGAUUGUUCAUUGUGUGCUUCGUUAUCUCAAGGGUUCCGUUGGUAGAGGAAUUAUUAUGCGCAACAAUGGUCACACUCACAUCUCAAGCUAUACUGAUGCUUAUUGGGCGGGAAAUUCUCUCGAUCGUAAGUCUACCAUUGGCUUCUAUACGUUUGUGGGAGGCAACUUCGUUAACUGGAAAAGCAAGGAACAAAGUGUAGUUGCUUGCUCUAGCUCAGAGGCAGAGUAUCGUGCUAUGGCAUCGACCGUUUGUGAACUUAUUUUGCAUCGAAUCUUGUAUUCCAUGAACGAACCAAACACAUCGAGGUUGAUUGUCACUGCGUUCAAAAUCAAGUUCAUUCCUAGGUGAUCGAUACUCACUACACAUGCAGUCAUGAUCAACUAGCGGAUAUUUUCACAAAAGGAUUGACAUUCGCUGUUUUUCUGUGCUUUUUGUUCAAGCUUGGAUUAGUUAACCCCUUUGAUCCAGCUUGAGAGAGUAUUGGAAGAAGUAUGUCAACUAGGGUUAGGUUGUAUAUCCACUGUACAAGUUGUUAACCUAGUCUUAAGGUGAUGUUUUGAUGUACCGUGUAGAGUGGUUGUUUUAUGCCAUCUUGUGCAUUGGUAUCACCAAUAGUUAGUCUCUUGUUGUCAUUCCCCUUAAUUCAAGGGAUGUGUAUCUUGUUGAUUUUUACUUUGUUUGUUAGUUUUAGGUGUAAAUCAAGGAGGGAUAGAACGUCUUGUUCCUACUCUUCACACAUAUAUAUUGGUUAGGUCUCUUGUACUUUUCUUUAUGAUGAAUAUACAACUUACAAAAUACAAUACACAUAAUACGAGAGAGAGAGAGAGAGAGAGAGAGAGAGAGAGAGAGUGAGAAAUGAAGAGAGAAGUGAUGGUGGGUAAAUAAGAGAGAGUGGAGUGGUAAGUGAUUACCCGAACAUUACUAUAAACCAACAGUGCAUGAUGACCAAGUAAAAUAUAAUAACUACCAAGACCAUAACGCAGAGGGGUGCACACAAGGGUUGUCGCACGCAUGCAAAAUAUCCCAUCCAAACAACAACCAGUCAUCACCACAUGCAAUAUGUGUGACACAUUCGGAGAAACCGAAAACGACAUUCAAAUGCGAAAAUUGUGUAAGUCGAUGAAACUGUGACAAACAAGAAGAAAAAUAUGACUUGCACUAACUUGGACUCCAUUUCUAAUUCUACCUGAUGUUUUGAAGACGAAGUUGCAUGUAUUUAUAGUACCUACUAGCAAAAAUGCCCGCGCUCUGCUGCGGGUCUUGAAACCGUUGAAGAUGAUACUAUUGUUUAUUAGCUUUUUUCUCUUUGAAAUUUGGACUGGACACUUGAAUUUCAAAUGGGUUUUUUCUAUUUAUGUUUUGUACUGUGUUUCUUUGUUUGAUUAUACUUUGGGUUAUUGAUUUAGCUUUAUCCAACCUCUAGAGUCUAGAUGGUAGUGAUGAUUCGUUACUCGGAAGCUCUCAUUCCAUAUAUCUCCGCCAUAUUUAUAAAAUCAACAACAACAAAAAACAGAAAAGAAAAGAAAAUACUCCACCAAACAAAAAAUGCGAGACUUCUACGAUCCAAAAGGGCGGAUUUCUAAGUGAAAUGGUGGAAAACAAACACUAAUUUUCAAAGCCUUAACUAAUACAAAUUCGAAACACUUCAUUUUACUUGUUUUCAUUAUUCAAUUUAUAUCCUAAGAAUAAUUACUAAUAGUUCAAAUAUUAAACGUUCCGCAACCAAAAGUAUUGACACCUCAAAAGUUAUGGAAACUCUUAUUUCACUAACAAACACAACAAACCCAGAACACCAAAUUCAGUAUCCAUGCUACUCUCAUACUUUAUGAGCAUCCAAACAGAACCCAGAAUACCAAAUUCAAAACCCCUAAAAUCAGAAAAAUGGCCCCAAAAAAGCCCUUAAUAAACAUACCGAUUUGUUUUCUUUUAUUUUUAAAUCUAGAGUAAGAUAAAUUGCUUACCUACUGGUGGUGCGGCGUGAUAAAUUUACCACUCGAUCAUAAUAAGGGAAAACAAUUAAACCGUAAAAUUAAAAACAAUUAAACCCAGCAAAUUUUCUGUAAUUAAAAAAACACAGAAAACAGUUGGCAACAAAGAUUUAGAGUUAAUUUAUACCAUGGAGUGCCAACUGAUGGACAUAAACAGGAUGCAAAGCGAAAUUUGAAAACAACAAAAUAUUCCAAGAAAAAAAAAGGAACAAAGGUGGAUCAUAUAAGAAUCUUCUUUCUUUAAUCAUAUUGUAUUGCAUUAUUUCAAAAACUAUCUAAUUUCACCCAAAAAAAAUUACCUAGAUCAAAUAUUUCACAAAAAUUAACUCCAGAAGUUACCUUCCAAGAGAUGAGUUGGUAGCUUCUAUCUAUUCGACUUGCAGUGGGUCUGCAAAAAAAAUGUCCUUUAAUGACCCUAGAGGAAGACGGAGAAAAACCCAUCUCUUGAAUACCCUUUCAGCUAAAGCGGUUUCAUUGCAAAAAUCACAAAAUCAACACAAUUUCAACAUAAACUUGAAAUUAAGGAAAUGACUUAACACUAUAACGAUUCGAAAGCAUUGGAAUUUAAAUCACAAUUCUUACAAAUUCAGCUAGAUUAUGACUAUAAUUCGUCAGUAGCUCGACCCCCUCUUGCUCAUACAUGAAUAUCAUCUUUCGGAGGCCAUGGCUGCAACAAAAUAAAAGUACAAUUUUCAUUUCCCACUACCAACUGUGCGGCAGAUGCUCAUGAUCUGGGAAUGAUUCCUCCAGUCAUGUUUUUCUGCCAACAUAUUAAUUUUGCUCAAUGAUAAUGCCAUAAUUGGAAUAUAUUUUUUUUAUAGAAAUGAUGUAAUGGGUUAAUAUGAAAUUCCGAACUUUUGGUGAUGAUUGAACUCUUACAUGACUGCUACUGUACUUGUUCAAAUCAACAUAAUUUUAAACGUUCAGUUGAAAUCUUAUGAAAAUAGAGUAUGGAUUUAUAGCUAACCAAAAGACACAUUCACAGCGCCACAAUAUUUAACUACUAUACACAGUUUUUUUUUAAAAUGAGUAUAAGACUAACCUUUACAGAGCACCUAUGAAUCACUUCCAAAAUGAGAUACACAAAAUCUGAAACAGCACCUAUCCAAAGUUAAAAAACAAAACUAAUUAAAUAACAAUUAGGCAAGAACAACAAAAUGCGACAAACAAAAUGAAAACCAAAAUCAUAUAAGGGUUGAGAAUCUCUAAUUUAUUAGAAUUAGGGAUUCCAUUAAUACAACUAUGUCACUCUAGUACUAAAUUUUUUAUUUGGCCAAAAACAGAAAAAAAAAACUGAAAACACCAACUUAAAAAGAGUAUGCAAAUGAAAAACAUUUACACCCACACUUAUCAAUUUACACAUAACUUUCAAUUUGGAAUCAUUUGGGCUUCCAAAAUUUCAUCACCCAUAAAUUCAUAUAUAUUUCCAUUAAUUCUAUCUCUCUCUCUCUCAAAUUACAAAUCUCAAAAGGCUUCACAAAAAAGUUAGGGAAAGAAGCACACACUCGCAGGAAUAAUUCACUUUCCUUUCCAACUAUCUCUCUCUCUCUCCCUCUCUCUUCAACAUUACAAUUACACACAGAGAUCCCAUUCAAUCAAGACUCACCCCAAAAUUGAUAUCAAGCUCUGUUGCACAGAAUACCUUACAAUUGACAGCACGUUUACAAAGGUUUUGAAAGGCUUAGAUUCAACUUUCAAAUAUGUAAGACUCUAAGCUUCAAAACCAAAACAAACCCAAUUGCACUUUUAGUUCACUAACCCCAUUGAAUAAAAUCCAAUUCAAUAAAAUAACAGAAAAUUAAACAACCCAAAAAUCAAAACAACCCCACUUGUAGUUUUAGCUCACUAAUCCGUUGGAUAAAUUGAUGCAAAAUUCAAUCAGAACAACAACCCAGAAGAGCCAUCCAAAACCCCAACCAAUUAACCAAAAAAUGCCACUUGUACUUUUAGCUUAGUCUUCCGAUUGAAUCAGAUCUAUCAUCAAAUUUCAAUCAGAAAAUAGAAAAUUAAGAACAACCCAGUAUUUCCACUCACCUGCUGUGAAACUUGUCCCUGUUGAGCAGCAGUAGGAACGGGUAAACUGGGUGAUAUAUACAACUGAUUAAAACACUCAAGCUGCUUCAGCUACAUAACAGAAAAUGAAAAAAUGUUAGCACAACAGUAUAAAUGCAGGUAAAGGAGUCAAUAUAUGGAGCAACCAUCUUGCCCUCCCCCGACUGUUUGUCUCUUAAGCUAAAUUGCCAUCCAAAACAAAUAGAACAGACACUCACUUACCCUCUAUUUCUGUAAACGGAUCCUAUAACCGACAUCGAAGCUAAGCAUCUAAAACCCUCCUUAGAAGUUAGAAGUAAAAGUUCUCUACUUUAUGGAAGAAUUAAGCACCUCAAUGCCACUAAAACCAAAUCAUCCUAAUAAUUCACCCUUCAAUUUCAUGCCCGAACAAGAGAACGGAAAUUUAUCACCAUGUUCUUUAACUGAAAAAUAAAAAUUGGGGUAAGCCCAGUUCUCAUUUCUAGCAGAGUUCACUCCAUCUAAAUGCUCAUCCAACAAAAAAAAAAUUGAAAUUCCAGCUUCUUUGUUGCCUCCUAUAUUUUAUUAGCCUUCAAAAAGUCCUUAACUUGGAGCUUUAGAGCUUUGGCUAGGAUUUCAAAACGUGAGCUUGUGAGUGCAUGAGAGAGAGAGAGAGAGGGCAUACCUGACCAUGGGAGAGAACGGAGGCUAUAGAAAGAGCUAUGCUCGGCUUCUCGCCGACUUGCAAAAAUGUAAAAGCACAAACAGAAAGGAGAAUCAAAGACAAAAUUCCAAGAAAAAUUCCAAAAAUUCAAAAUUAUACGCGAGAGAGACACCUUGUUGAUAUUCGGAGUUAGACUCAGAGAGACGAAGCUCCGAGUUACAGAAAUGGAGGCCAGGUUUGUGGGGUUUUGGUUUUCAAAAGCAGGAGCCGACGCUAUUGCAGAGAUCGGCUAGAGUUGGUGUUGUUGCUGCUAGGGUUUGAGAAAGGGAAAUGAAGGCCAAAUGGGUGUGUUUCUGUCUCUCUCCCAUCCCUCUCAAUCUCUCAAUCACCGACACCAAACCUUGAUUUGAGGAGAAAAAAUCAACCCUAACCCCCUUUUUUGGCAGCCUCACUCCUCCCUGUCCCUUUCCCUCCCUGCCAUCCCACGCCUAUCUCCCUCUCCGUCUCUGAAGCCCAUGCCAUUCGAAAAUGGCAGAUAUGUAAAUAAUGCAAAAUCAAGGGCCCAUCUCACAACAAAACUGGCAAAACUGUAAAUAUCUUGAAAUCUGUUCAGAGACAAUAUUACACUCCUAAUUUUAUAUAAUUACCCUCCAACUCAGCCACAGAUAUGAUGGCAGUGGCAUAAAUAAAGCAAAAUCAAAGGGCAAAAGUUUGACUGUAGCUAGAAUAGAUAAUGGGGUGGAGGUUGAGGUGGAGGGGUUAAAAUAAUGAAAGGAAAACUAAUGAAAAAAGUUUGAAAAUUUUGAGUUUUAAUGAUAAGGACAAAAUAAAGGGUAAAGUGAAUAGUACCAGGUUUGACUUUUUAAUGUAAAAAUGUGGUUUUUCGUUAAAGUGAACAGUACCGUAGGCAUUUCGUUAAAACUCUCUAAAAUGAAACGAUCAAAACAGAUGCGAAAUUGGGAAAAACUUAAUUAACAUUCCUACUCCCACUACAAAUGAAAAUCAAUACAAGUCUGCAAUUCAGAAUGGACAAGGAUUCUCUGCACUCCCUUUUUCCAUGCCCUUCCAUGCCCUCCUGUUUGUGUGGUCACGGUUAAGCAACGUCAACAUUUUAUAUUACUAUUCAUUUUUGUCUUAUUAUUUUUAUAAAAAAAAAUAAUAUAAAAUGUUAACGUGGUUUAACCGUAACCACACAAAACAGGAGGGCAUGGAACGGCAUGGAAAAUAGGAGGGCAGACAAUCCUUGUCCAUUCAGAAUAUAACUCGUUACAUAUCACUGUCAAGUUUUCAAUUUAUAGGCAAAAGAAACUGCAUGCAUGUGUAUUGUGUAGAUCGUUUUGAAUUGAAGCCUUUUAUGCUUAUGGUUUUGGGUCUUUUAUCUAACUAUCUAUUGAGGGGAAGCGACACACGUGAACAAGCAAAUGCUAGUAAAUCGUUUUGGGCCUUUUAUCCAACUUUCUAUUGAGGGGAAACAACACAUGUGAUUUAAAUCCUAGGGCCUAGGCUAAUUUAUGAUAGUAUAUACUUUAAAUAAUUUCCUUGAUAUUAAUGGUAUAGGGUAGGUGUAAUCGUGUAAUAAGACAAUCUUAAAUUCUUAAUGGAAAGCGGGGCUGACAAAGAAGAUGCAUAUAACAUACGAGGCCCGCAAACAAAUAAUGAAUGAUAUUGAGUCGACCCAAAUUUGAGGUUGUGGGUUCGAACAAUGCAACUCUCACACUUUGUCGUCUAUCAUUUUAUAUAAAAUUAAGUCAACCCAAAUUUGAGGUUGUGAGAAGAUGCAUGUAACAUCAACACUUAUAUAAUUGAACCUUACUUUCGAAAAUUAAUCAAAGUUUUGGUCUAAAAUCUCAGUCAGUUUCAUGUAUACGAUUUUUUUUCUUCUUAUAAAUCUUAAUUAAAAAGUUAUCAUAAUUUGUUGUUUAUCGUUAGAGGGGGAGCACGAGUAGUGGUGCAGCAUCAAAAUGAAACUGGGACAAGAUAUGUUGGUGAAAAUCCUACUAACUCUGGAUCUCAAAACUCUGAUGCGAUUCAAAUGUGUCUCUAAAUUGUGGUAUGCUCUCUUCAACAAUCCAGGUUUCGUACUACAAAAUGGACUUAUUGUGUCACUGGGUGAUGUCGCUUUAAUAUAAUAUAGUGGCGGAUAAGACAUUUGCGAUACCUACUGAACUUGACGUCUGAUUUACUGUCGCUUGUAAGCGUCAUAAACUGUCUAUGUCGAUCAUCAUGACAUAAGUUUAAACUUUGCCAAUGGAACUCAAAGCUUGCAUGUUAUUCCUUUUACAAAAUCCUCAAUUUUCAUCGAUCAUCAUGACAUAAGAUUUUGUGGUAUCCACUUCUGUAAAUAUUUUAAAUUGACGAUCAAAUUAGUUCAUUGUAUUCAUAUAGGAUCAAGGAGUGUAGCUGUAAAAAAUCACCAAAAUCAGAGUUAAAAUAACCGUUUAAUCGUGAUUUUUCGUUUAUAACCGUCAAAAAGUUUUGUCUCCUUACUUGAUCUCUGAAUGUUUAUUUUUUGCAAUUUUUGGCGUAUGCGAUCUCGAAGCAUAUAUAAACAAGUUUGACGGUUGGAUCGUUGAAAUUAGUUUCGUAGAAUGCGUAUCCCAUCAAAAUGAUAGAUUCAUUAACACUUAAGUUUAUUUACUUUCAUUAAGUAUAACAUAAGAAUUUGUGGUAUCCACUAGUGUAAAUAUUUUAAAUUGAAGAUCGAUCUCAUUCAUUGUAUUCAUAUAGGGUCAAGGAGUGUAGCUGUAAAAAAUCAUCAAAAUCGGAGUUAAAAUCACCGUUAAAUCGUGAUUUUUCGUUUAUAACCGUCAAAAAGUUUUGUCCCGUUACUUGAUCUCUAAAUGUUUGUUUUUUGCGAUUUUUGGCGUAUGUGAUCUCGAAGCAUAUAUAAACAAAUGAUCCCCCUCCGGUGCCUUCUCUUUCUAGGGCUCAACCGACUGCUGAGACUUCUCCUAAGCAACCUUUAUGAAGGCUCCAUCUUGUUUGUUUAUUUUGACUCAUGUAUAUGUACAUAUUUGUAACUUAUCAGAGAUAUCAAUAAAUAAGCUUUGCUUCAUUUCAACGUAUUGUGUUAAAUACACCAAAGCCUUCUUCACUAAGUCUUUGAAUUUUUCUUUUAUUGAAGCUUGUAUGUUGAAGCUUUGUGAGUGGAGCAUGUAGGUUGAGGUAGUGUUCCUUUAAUUUUCCGAGUGAGGAAAACUUCUCGGUUGGAGACUUGAAAAAUCCAAGUCACUGAGUGGGGUCGGCUAUAUGAAUCUUAGAACGCCAUUGUGCUCGGUCCUGUGUCAUGUCCUCCGUUAGAUCCAAGUACUCUAAGUCUUUUCUUAGAGUCUCAUCCAAAGUUUUCCUAGGUCUUCCUCUACCCCUUCGGCCCUGAACCUCUGUCCCGUAGUUGCAUCUUCUAACCGGAGCGUCAGUAGGCCUUCUUUGCACAUGUCCAAACCACCGUAACCGAUUUUCUCUCAGUUUUCCUACAAUUUCGGCUACUCCUACUUUACCUCGGAUAUCCUCAUUCCUAAUCUUAUCCUUUCUCGUGUGCCCACACAUCCAAUGAAGCAUCCUCAUCUCCGCUACACCCAUUUUGUGUACGUGUUGAUGCUUCACCGCCCAACAUUCUGUGCCAUACAGCAUCGCCGGCCUUAUUGUCGUCCUAUAAAAUUUUCCCUUGAGCUUCAGUGGCAUACGGCGGUCACAUAACACGCCGGAUGCACUCUUCCACUUCAUCCAUCCAGCUUGUAUUCUAUGGUUGAGAUCUCCAUCUAAUUCUCCGUUCUUUUGCAAGAUAGAUCCUAGGUAGCGAAAACGGUCGCUCUUUGGUAUUUUCUGAUCUCCGAUCCUCACCCCUAACUCAUUUUGGCCUCCAUUUACACUGAACUUGCACUCCAUAUAUUCUGUCUUUGAUCGGCUUAGGCGAAGACCUUUAGAUUCCAACUCUCCAAAAGUUAAGCUUCGCAUUUACCCCUUCCUGAGUUUCAUCUAUCAACACUAUAUCGUCUGCGAAAAGCAUACACCAAGGAAUAUCAUCUUGAAUAUGUCCUGUCAUCCAUUACCAACGCAAAAAGGUAAGGACUUAAGGAUGAGCCUUGAUGUAAUCCUACAGUUAUGGGGAAGCUUUCGGUUUGUCCUUCAGGAGUUCUUACGGCAGUCUUUGCUCCUUCAUACAUAUCCUUUAUAGCUUGGAUAUAUGCUACUCGUACUCUUUUCUUCUCUAAAAUCCUCCAAAGAAUGUCUCUUGGGACCCUAUCAUACGCUUUUUCCAAAUCUAUAAAGACCAUGUGUAAAUCCUUUUUCCCAUCUCUAUAUCUUUCCAUCAAUCUUCGUAAGAGAUAGAUUGCCUCCAUGGUUGAGCGCCCUGGCAUGAACCCGAAUUGGUUGUCCGAAACCCGUGUCUCUUGCCUCAAUCUAUGCUCAAUGACUCUCUCCCAAAGCUUCAUUGUAUGACUCAUUAGUUCAUGCAAUUUUGUACGUCGCCCUUAUUCUUGUAGAUAGGCACCAAAGUGCUAUUUCGCCACUCAUUUGGCAUCUUCUUCGUUUUCAAAAUCCUAUUGAAAAUGUCAGUGAGCCAUGCUAUACCUGUCUCUCCCAAGACUUUCCACACUUCGAUCGGUAUAUCGUCUGGGCCCACUGUUUUUCUAUGCUUCAUCUUCUUCAAAGCUACAACCACUUCUUCCUUCCUGAUUCGACGAUAAUAUGAGUAGUUUCUACAUUCUUCUGAGUUACUCAACUCCCCUAAAGAAGUACUCCUUUCAUGUCCUUCAUUGAAAAGAUUAUGAAAAUAACCUCUCCAUCUGUCUUUAACCGCGUUCUCUGUAGCAAGAACAUUUCCAUCCUCAUCCUUGAUGCACCUCACUUGGUUUAGGUCCCUUGUCUUCUUUUCCCUUACUCUAGCUAGUUUAUAGAUAUCCAACUCUCCUUCUUUGGUAUCUAGUCGCUUAUACAUAUCGUCAUAAGCCGCUAACUUAGCUUCUCUCACAGCUUUCUUCGCCUCUUGCUUCGCUCUUCUAUACCUUUCAUCAUUUUCAUCGGUCCUAUCCUUGUAUAAGGCUUUACAACAUUCCUUCUUAGCCUUCACCUUUGUUUAUACCUCCUCAUUCCACCACUAAGAUUCCUUUUGGUGUGGAGCAAAGCCCUUGGACUCUCCUAAUACCUCUUUUGCUACUUUUCGGAUACAACUAGCCAUAGAAUCCCACAUUUGGCUAGCUUCCCCCUCUCUAUCCCACACACACUGGGUGAUUACUUUAUCUUUGAAAAUGGCUUGUUUUUCUCCUUUUAGAUUCCACCAUCUAGUCCUUGGGCACUUCCAAGUCUUGUUCUUUUUUCUCACUCUUUUCAUAUGUACAUCCAUCACCAACAAGCGAUGUUGAUUAGCCAAGCUCUCUCCCGGUAUAACUUUGCAAUCCUUACAAGUUCUACGAUCCCCUUUCCUCAUUAGAAGAAAAUCUAUUUGUGUUUUUGACGACCCACUCUUGUAGGUGAUCACAUGUUCUUCUCUCUUCUUAAAGAAAGUGUUGGCUAAGAAGAGAUCAUAUGCCAUUGCAAAAUCCAAGAUAGCUCCCCCAUCCUCGUUUCUCUCCCCAAAACCAUGGCCACCAUGAAAACCUCUAUAGUUGCCUGUCUCCCUGCCCACGUGUCCAUUUAAAUCUCCUCCUAUAAAUAACUUCUCCGUCUGAGCAAUUCCUUGCACCAAGUCUCCAAGGUCUUCCCAAAAUUUCUCCUUCGAACUGAUAUCCAACCCUACUUGAGGUGCGUACGCACUAAUCACAUUGAUGAGUUCUUGUCCUAUUAAAAUCUUAAUUGCCAUGAUUCUAUCUCCUACCCUCUUGACAUCUACAACAUCUUGUGUCAAGGAAUUGUCCACGAUGAUGCCAACACCGUUUCUCGUUCUAUUUGUGCCCGAAUACCAAAGUUUAAACCCUGAGUUUUCUAGAUCAUUUACCUUAAGACCAAACCACUUAGUUUCUUGUAGGCACAUAAUAUUUAUCCUUCUCCUCACCAUAACUUCCACUACUUCUAUAGAUUUUCCAGUUAAGGUUCCUAUAUUCCACGUUCCUAAUCGCAUUCUACUCUCUUAAACUCUACCCUUCUGUCCUAGCUUCUUCACCCUCCCUCGUCUAAUAGGAUCAAAGUACUUCUUUUGUGUGUCCUGUGUAAAGUUGAUAGGAGCAUAUGCUCCCAAACAACUUUGAGUGGAGUCGUUCGAAAAAAAGUUUCUAUGGCCCCCUUGCUCAUUUAACACUGCAUCCGGGUGUCGAUUGUUACAACCACCCCCAAAUAAUUACACCAUUUGUUAUUUCCACCCCCAACUGCCACGUGUCAAUCAUCAAACCUCCCAUCUUUUCCCUUUCUCUGUCCCAUCACCCCCGUGACCUUCUUCUUCUCUGUCCCUCUCAACUCCCCCGUAGCUCUCUCUCUCUCCCUCUCUCUCUCAGCUCUCCCGUACCUCUCUCCCUUAAACUCUCACAUAUCUCUCUUCCCGUGGACUCACUAGGACCGAGUCACCAUCGAAGAGAGGCUCGCAACGAGCCCAGGACCCUACCCUGUGAGUUCGACGACACGGAGCGAGCUUCGGCGAGCACCGCCCCUUUCGAGGCCAUUUCUGACCAAACCACGGCGAGUUGGCCGGCGUGUAAGGUAUUAAUCUCUUCGUCUCCCUGACUACUACAAUUUUCCUUUUUGUUUCACCCAAUUUCGUUGAGUAGUGACAAAGUUAUAGCCAUUUAAAGUUGGGUGGUUUUCCGGCCGAAUCUCCGGCCUUCUCUCUCGGCAAACCAAGGCCAGCCAGCCUUCCCAUUCCCUUCCCUCGGGCCUUAAGCCCAUUAAACCCCAACCCUUUUCUUUUCUUUUUAUUAGCUUAUUGUUUUUAAAACCCAAAAGGGCCUUGGGCCGGUGACAUUUAAAGGGCUUAAAGCCCAGCCUUUUAUUUUAUUGAGGCUUUAAGGCCUUUGUGACUUUGUACCCGUGUGUGUGUGUGUAUGUUUAGGUGUAUGUGUGUGUGUGCUUAUGCAUGCACAUGCAUGCCGUGUGUGUGUGUGUAUAUUUGUAGUGUGUGUGUUUGGGCUAAAGCCCAAACCCCAAUUCUCACCCUAAAAUCAUUUUAACCCAAAACCUUAGAAUUCCAAAACCCAUUAGAUCCUAAUCCUAUUUAACCUAAACCCUAAUCCGGAUUUCAAGUCUAAAACCCGUUUGACCUAGUUUGACUGUUGACCCCCGAUCAACGUUGACUUUAGGGUUGACUUUUCGGGUUUUCGUCCAAGACCUUUCCUAAGCUAAAUUCGACGUUCUGAAUCCAUUUGUGAUGUCCGUUUUCCCAAAUUCAAUCGUUUAAGUAGAGUUUGACUAAAUGUGCUCUUUAUGUGAUUAGGGGCAAUUAUAGUGGCGUUUCCGUCUUCGCUAGUGGCACAGCUUUUGGCAACUAAGUACUGUGAGUAGACCCCUUCUAAAAUUACAUGAUUUUAUAAUUUAAUUGCAUAAAUGAUUAGCAUGCCUACGAGUUUAUGACUUGAUUUAUGUGAAGCCUGUUUAUUAAAUAUAUUGAUUUUCGUCUCGUAUUUUUGGUAAGGAAUUAAUUGUUAGCCUAUAUUGAGCUAUAUUUUGAUAUAUUGUAUUUUCUAUAAAAACCAUGAAUUGGUAGACUAUCCGAUGGAUAACGAUAGGAUGCUAGAACAUGUUUUUGAAACCCCUCUUUAUAGUAUAGACGAUGGAUGACUUUAUACUAUGAAGUGGAUAUUUCGAGAGAUGCGUAACUAUUUGUGCGUGCCUAGUAGACACUAUGCCGCCUGGGGCAAGGAUCUGGUGUUGGCAAUUAGGCCGGGAGAAAUAAUCCCUAGCGAAAGGCAGAGGGACACGGUGACAGGCACUGGGCCGGGAGGGAGUUAUCUCUAGCUACGGGCACAUAGACUUAGGUGCAGGCAUUGGGCCGGGAGUUAUAUUUAUUCGGUGAUCUUUCUAGCAGCACACCGCGUUUAUGAGACGAUUUAUGAGACGUUUACUGUUUUGAUUUCCGCGAUGUUAUUCCGCGAUAUGACUUUUUGAGAUACUUUGGCAUGCUAGGGUUUUUAUUAAAUCCAUCACUUAUUAUGCUAGUAGUUUUCAUUAUUAAACUGUGGGGGUUAUUACUUUGAUAGCUGUUUUAUUAUUAUAUAUAUGAACUUGGUCCACUCACCUUUGUUUUGCGCCCCCAUUCAGGACUUAGAAUCAAGGCACAUAAUCUCGGCGUCAAGACACUUCCGCAGCAGCAUAUUUGAGUCCUCUCGAUGUAGGACCCACUUCUUUAUUCAUUCAAUUUUAUCUUAAUUCUUUUUAGUGAUUAGGUUAGUUGUAUGCUCUGAGCACGUUCCUAAAAUAAAUUAUUUCAUUGUAUUUUAAAUUCAUAACCCUUAUUUAUUUCUUAUUCUUAGCUUUUGUAUCAAUUAAUGGCUUUCGUCACCUUCGGGUGUCGGCCAACACGUGUCUAUCCUGGUAUUCGGGGAAUAUCAGGGUCGGGGCGUGUCACCGAUGGAGAUACAGCGACCCUUACUCACUUAUCACUGUGCUCGGGCCACACAGCGCGCCACUUACGGGUGACGCCCUAGCUUUAGCACAAUUUCGUUCUGAAUUCAUUUUCAUAAGGAUUCGACAUAACCGAGGAGUGCCGGCUGUCGACUACCUGACGCCCUCCCCCUCCUCCUUUAUCCGGGCUUGGGACCGGCAAUGUAAGAUAAACUUACACAGGCGGAGUUGCCACAGAAUCUGAGCAUGAACCAAAAAUCAUAAAAAUAAACAGAAGCAACAUAACAACAGCUUCUUGCUGUCAGAGAAACAUGGAAUGAAUAAACGGAGGAACAAACCCGUAUUUCAAUGUUAUGAGACUACUUCAGAACAGUAAACAUACAAUAUAGCAAACUGUCAAGUACCACGAAAGAGACAAAAAAUAGGAUCUCAUUCUUUCAAUUGUAUUUAAUUACGGAAAGGUCUAAUUAUGUCGUUGAUGCAUCCCUUCACCACUGUAAUGGUAACGACCGCAAUCUUUCAUAAUACGCAUCCCACCAUCUAGUCCUUGGGCACUUCCAAGUCUUGUUCUUUUUUCUCACUCUUUUGAUAUGUACAUCCAUCACCAACAAGCGAUGUUGAUUAGCCAAGAUCUCUCCCGGUAUAACUUUGCAAUCCUUACAAGUUCUACGAUCCCCUUUCCUCAUUAGAAGAAAAUCUAUUUGUGUUUUUUACGACCCACUCUUGUAGGUGAUCACAUGUUCUUCUCUCUUCUUAAAGAAAGUGUUGGCUAAGAAGAGAUCAUAUGCCAUUGCAAAAUCCAAGAUAGCUCCCCCAUCCUCGUUUCUCUCCCCAAAACCAUGGCCACCAUGAAAACCUCUAUAGUUGCCUGUCUCCCUGCCCACGUGUCCAUUUAAAUCUCCUCCUAUAAAUAACUUCUCCGUCUGAGCAAUUCCUUGCACCAAGUCUCCAAGGUCUUCCCAAAAUUUCUCCUUCGAACUGAUAUCCAACCCUACUUGAGGUGCGUACGCACUAAUCACAUUGAUGAGUUCUUGUCCUAUUAAAAUCUUAAUUGCCAUGAUUCUAUCUCCUACCCUCUUGACAUCUACAACAUCUUGUGUCAAGGAAUUGUCCACGAUGAUGCCAACACCGUUUCUCGUUCUAUUUGUGCCCGAAUACCAAAGUUUAAACCCUGAGUUUUCUAGAUCAUUUACCUUAAGACCAAACCACUUAGUUUCUUGUAGGCACAUAAUAUUUAUCUUUCUCCUCACCAUAACUUCCACUACUUCCAUAGAUUUUCCCGUUAAGGUUCCUAUAUUACACGUUCCUAAUCGCAUUCUACUCUCUUGAACUCUACCCUUCUGUCCUAACUUCUUCACCCUCCCCCGUCUAAUAGGAUCAAAGUACUCUUUUGUGUGUCCUGUGUAAAGUUGAUAGGAGCAUAUGCUCCCAAACAACUUUGAGUGGAGUCGUUCGAAAAGAAGUUUCUAUGGCCCCCUUGCUCAUUUAACACUGCAUCCGGGUGCCGAUAGAGAUACAGCGACCCUUACUCACUUUUCACUGUGCUCGGGCCACACAGCGCGCCACUUACGGGUGACGCCCUAGCUUUAGCGCAAUUUCGUUCUGGAUUCAUUUUCAUAAGGAUUCGACGUAACCAAGGAGUGCCGGCUGUCGACUACCUGACGCCCUCCCCCUCCUCCUUUAUCCGGGCUUGGGACCGGCAAUGUAAGAUAAACUUACACAGGCGGAGUUGUCACAGAAUCUGAGCAUGAACCAAAAAUCAUAUAAAUAAACAGAAGCAACAUAACAACAGCUUCUUGCAUUCAGAGAAACAUGGAAUGAAUAAACGGAGGAACAAACCCGUAUUUCAAUGUUACGAGACUACUUCAGAACAGUAAACAUACAAUAUAGCAAACUGUCAAGUACCACGAAAGAGACAAAAAAUAGGAUCUCAUUCUUUCAAUUGUAUUUAAUUACGGAAAGGUCUAAUUAUGUCGUUGAUGCAUCCCUUCACCACUGUAAUGGUAACGACCGCAAUCUUUCAUAAUACGCAUCCCAUCAUACAGAACCAGCUAAAUAUUAAGUCAAGAAGUUUCUACGUUUUGUGCAUGGCAGGAACAAAUUUCAUGGUCCAAACACCCUACUAUCCCAACAAUGAGAAACACAAACUAGCGAAAUGCACCAAUUAUAAAUAUAUUUUUGGACCGGAAGGAGAAUUCGAUUCUCAUUAGGCAAAACUAAACUAACUAAGAAACUGAAAUACGAAAACUUGUAAACCAAAAACACGAAAAGCGAAAAAAUAAUGAGCAAUAAUCCAAGAUUUAAUAUCUAAGCAUGCAUGUUAUGUAGAUUUAAUAUCUACAUAAAGCACCCCAUCUCGCAAGGCCAAGCUUAUUCAAUCACAACUGUUUGUUGGGAUUUUUUUUUACUUUUUUCUAUUUUUAUUUCUUGUGGGAAUCGCAUCAAACAUUUUAAAUAAAUAUAUUAGCCUUGAUAGAAAAACAGAGAGUGCUCCAAGGCACCAAAAUUUCUACCACUGCUCCACCCAUAAGCACUUAAGUAUACACAAAGAAAGAACCCACCACAUCUCCUCAAAUCUCCCUCUCAGAAACUUUUUCCAGCAUCACCCUAAUACAUUUAGAGCCACUCAAAUGAAAAGUUAAAACAAUUUUAGAAUUAAAACAAAAAAUCUCAUGACCUUUCCUUUGACAACUCUGAUAGUUUGAGUGUAUAAUGACGUAAAGACGUUGCAAGAAUGCCAUGCGCAAUUCUGUGUAUAUGUGAGCAGUGUAAUACUAUUUAUAUGUGUGUGUGUGUGUGUGAUAAUGGCACUGAUCGAACUUGCCCGACUGGAAUUGCAGCAACGCAUCCUGCGCAAAAGCUCGGGUCACGGACAUGACGGCUUCGUCCUCGGCAGCUGAAGCAGAACCGUGCCGAUUCGCAGCCGUUGAUGACGGAGACGAAGACGAAGACGAAGCCAUCGGCGAAUCGAUCAAUCAGAGCUAGGAACCAAUAAGCCUUAUCUGAAUACACAAAUCCCCAAGAAGAAAUGAUCCAAAACAACGAACCCUAGAGGGUAAAAGGUGCGUUUUGGGGAUUGAUAUGAAGUCGGAGUUGGGGGCUUUGGGGGUUUUCGAACCCUAAGGGCACGUUUGUUUGACAGGAUUAGCAAGGCUUGGACUGGACUAAACUAUAGUCCUGUGUUUGGUGUGCAACCGGAUUAGCUUUAAUGAGCUUAACCCGGACUCGCUUGGACUAAGGACCUCCUUAGGUGGUCUUCGCGAGCAACCCCAAAACCCAGCGGAUUCGUAAGCUAGAGCAAACCGAGAGAGUUUCUGCCUUCCCUUCGUCCUGUCUUCCCUUCGUCCCUUCGUCCUGUCUUCCCUUCGUCCUCAUCUCUACGUUCCCUCUCAUCUUCGUUGCCGUGCUCUCUCAUCUUCGUCCUCCUCACCCUCAUCUGAGCGUCUUCCUGUCUCUGCAUCUGCUUGCCUCAUCUGAGUUGUACGGUAAACUUUGAUUCUUCUAUUAAUUGCAUGUAUUUGUGUUGCAGAUGGUAAUUUUACUGAGUUUUAUGUGAUUUGAUUGUUUUGGGUUUGAUAAUUUUUGAAUCAUAGAGAUCUGCACUUGAAUAAAUUAGGGUUUUGAUAUUUAGGUGAAAUUGAAAUUAGGAUUUGGGCUUUUCAUAAGAUGAGAUGGAACUUGGGAAUUUAGGAUGUCAAUGUUGUAAAACUUGGAAGUCCUACCCACAUGUUGUUUUCGAUUUUUAAAAAUUGGGGUUUCAACAAUGGGAGUACUAUGUGUGUGUGUGUGUGUGUGUGUGUGUGUGUUUCUGUGUGUGUGUCUGUGUGUGUGUGUGUGUGUGUUUCUGUGUGUGUGUCUGUGUGUGUGUGUGUGUGUGUGUGUGUUUCUGUGUGUGUGUCUCUGUGUGUGUGUUUCUGUGUGUGUGUCUCUGUGAGUGUGUGAGUGAGUGUGUGUGUGUGUGAGUGUGUGUUUGUGUAUGUAAGUUCUCCGUGUGUGUGUGAGUGUGUACUGUGAGUGUGAGUGUGUGAGUGUGUGAGGGUGUGUGUGUGUGUUUGUGUACUCAUUAACGUGGGGGGGGGGGGUGUGUGUGUGUUUGUGUAUGUAAGUUCUCCGUGUGUGUGUGAGUGUGUGAGUGUGUACUGUGAGUGUGAGUGUGAGUGUGUGAGUGAGUGUGUGUGUGUGUGAGUGUAUGUUUGUGUGUGUUUGUGUAUGUAAGUUCUCCGUGUGUGUGUGAGUGUGUACUGUGAGUGUGAGUGUGUGAGGGUGUGUGUGUGUGUUUGUGUACUCAUUAACGUGGGGGGGUGUGUGUGUUUGUGUAUGUAAGUUCUCCGUGUGAGUGUGAGUGUGUGAGUGUGUACUGUGAGUGUGAGUGUGAGUGUGUGAGUGAGUGUGUGUGUGUGUGAGUGUAUGUUUGUGUGUGUUUGUGUAUGUAAGUUCUCCGUGUGUGUGUGAGUGUGUACUGUGAGUGUGAGUGUGUGAGGGUGUGUGUGUGUGUUUGUGUACUCAUUAACGUGGGGGGGGUGUGUGUGUGUAUUGUGUGUGUGUGUUUGUGUAUGUAAGUUCUCCGUGUGUGUGUGAGUGUGUGAGUGUGUACUGUGAGUGUGAGUGUGUGAGUGAGUGUGUGUGUGUGUGAGUGUGUGUUUGUGUGUGUUUGUGUAUGUAAGUUCUCCGUGUGUGUGUGAGUGUGUGAGUGUGUACUCUGUGUGUGUAAGUGUACUGUGUGUGUGUGUGUGUGUGUGUGUGUGUGUGUGUGUGUUUGUGUACUCAUUAACGUGGGGGGGGUGUGUGUGUGUGUUUGUGUACUCUGUGUGUGUGCAGUGUGUGUGUGUAUGCAAUAUGUAUGCAGUGUGUGUAUGCAGUGUAUUCAGUGUGUAUGCAGUGUGUGUGUGCAGUGUGUGUGUGCAGUGUGUAUGCAGUAUGUAUGCAGUAUGUAUGCAGUGUGUGUGUGUGCAGUGUGUAUGCAGUGUGUGUGUGUGCAGUGUGUAUGCAGUGUGUAUGCAGUGUAUACAGUAUGUAUGCAGUGUGUGUGCAGUGUAUGUAUGUAUGCAGUGUGUGUGUGUGUGUAUGCAGUGUAUGCAGUGUGUGUAUGUAUGUAUGCAGUGUGUGUGUGUGUGUAUGUAUGCAGUGUGUGUGUGUGUGUGUAUGUAUGCAGUGUGUGUGUGUGUAUGCAGUGUGUGUGUAUGCAGUAUGUAUGCAGUGUGUGUGUGUGUGCAGUGUGUGUGUGCAGUGUGUGUGUGCAGUGUGUAUGCAGUAUGUAUGCAGUAUGUAUGCAGUGUGUGUGUGUGCAGUGUGUAUGCAGUGUGUAUGCAGUGUAUGCAGUAUGUAUGCAGUGUGUGUGCAGUGUAUGUAUGUAUGCAGUGUGUGUGUGUGUGUAUGCAGUGUAUGCAGUGUGUGUGUGUGUGUGUGUAUGCAGUGUAUGCAGUGUGUGUAUGUAUGUAUGCAAUGUGUAUGUGUGUGUGUGUGCAGUGUGUGUGUGUGUGUAUGCAGUGUGUGUGCAAUGUGUGUGUAUGCAGUAUGUAUGCAGUGUGUGUAUGCAGUGUAUGCAGUGUAUGCAGUGGGAAGAGGAUGCAAAUGGUAACUGAAGCUUUAGUUCAAGGUACUACAGAUCAUACUGACAUAGCUAAUGAACUUGAAGCAAUGGGUCUCUCUCCUAUAGAUCAAAUUGAUGCAUUGUCUCUUAUUUUGGAUAAACCAAAAAAUGUGGGAGUGUUCAGGGCAAUCAAACCGGAACUCAAGAAAGUGUUCGUCCAAAGGCUUUUAAGCGACAACGCAAGUGGAUGAGGAUUUUGGCUAAUGUUAACAUGAAUGUAUUUUAUUAAUGUUAACAUGGAUGUAUUUUAUUAAUCAUACAAUCUUAUGUUAUGGCUUAUAACUUAGCUUUGCACUAGUAUUUUGGCUUAUGUUAACUAGCCCGUUUGUAAAUUAUGGAGAUCUAUUUUGGCUAAUGUUAACUAAUGUUAACUAGGAUUUUCUAAAUUAUGGAGAUCUUCUUAUGUACUUGUAUUUGUUGAAGUUGCAUGUAUUGGGCACUAUUAUUUUUCUUCUGUUGGGUGAUAGAGUUUAAACCAAGCUACAUUUGCAAAUUAAACCCAAUUCUAUUAGCAGGUAAUAGAAACAAAACAAUUGUCAAUUUUUUUUAAAAUUCAUAAUAUACAUGGCAAAAAUAUGCUCCAAUUAACCCAUAUCAUGAGAUUUGUAGCAUUACUCUAUUACACAAUGGCAAAAAUUUGUAGUCCUAGUCUAAGCAAACACAAAUCUGGUGAACAGUACUGUUUUUCUUAUCCUGCUUCUUAGUCCGACAUUACACCAAACGCUUCACUAAGUUAGUCCAGCUUAGUCCAGUCUAAGCCAGUCCAGCUUAGUCCCGGCAGCUAGUCCAGUCCGAGACAGUCCGGCGCAACAAACGCACCCUAAGAGGUUUGCAAGAGAGGACACCUGUUCGAGCGUCUUUUGCUCGAAUGUGCUGAUUUGCAGAGAUAGUGGGGAGAGAGAGAGAGUAGAAAAGGAUACGACCGAGAGGGAGAGAGAGAGAGUAGAAAAGGAUACGACUAAGAGAGAGAGGGAGAGCGAGCGAGCCAGCGAGCCAGCGAGAGCAGUUGUUUUGGGGCUUUCUUAGGUUGCUGGGUAUGGGAGUUUCGACAGGGGGUGUUUGCUGGGUGCACGCAACAAUUGGGCUUCUUUUCUGUGCUAAAUGGGCCAUGGACUGACAUUCUUUGUAAGGUGUGAUUAGAAUUUUGUGAUGAUCUUGCUGUGUUUCAUGUUUUGUUUGAUUUAGUAAAGGGGUGUGUUAAUUUAUGUCAUUUGGCAUUCUUUAAUUCAUUCGAUUCGACAACCACAAAUUAAGAAGUUGUGUAUCAAGGAAAAUGGGGUGUGCCUUUGUUAAUGGUGGGAGUUACGUUUUCAGAUUGUAUGAACAUUUGGAAAGCUGUUUUUGGACGCACCAGUGUGUGCUUUACAUAAUGAAAUAAUGAUAUUAACAUGCUAUUUUUAGAAUUAUAAUUAGACUUGUCAAGUGGGUACCAUGUUCAAUUUGGAACUGGAUCCUCUCCUGAGCUGAGGAUGAGGAUCCUCAUGAGCAGCCCAUCUGGGCCGUUCAAACUUGAUCCAACGACUAUAAUUAUUAUAACUUUUAGAGGGAUCCCCUGUUUAGAGUUGUUGGAUCAAAUUUCAUAGGCUCAGAUAGGCUGCUCAUGAGGAUCCCUAUCCUGAGCUCAGGAAAGAUCCAGUUUUGUUCAAUUUCACCCAUAAGGAAACCAAAAUUUAAUAUUAGUGUGGGCUCUAGUCUACAAAGUAAUCUUGUACCAUAAUUAAUAUAAUACAGAAAACAUAAGUAAUUCAGUUAUGUACAUAACAUAUGGCCAGCUCAAACAUUUGGGGCUCUACAUUUCUUUACACAGGAAACUGUCAAAGUAGAAGCUGAGAGUACUGAGACAGCCAAACUAUCCCUUUCUAAACAGCUCCAAGAUGCACUCUGCAUUCCGGAUAUCUUGGUUGUCUUGCGUAUCCUCGUUCCCCUGCGAAAAAUCCAUGCUUGUGAAAGUCUGGAUACCCGGGCCGUGACCGCUACAAUCCAUCUCCCUUCCUUGUUGUGCUCACCUUACUUCCUUCUGAUGCUCAGUUACUUCCAACCUUUUCCUUUUCAAACUCGAACAUGGAGGCAUUGCUUUGAGCUCACCGCCUAUCAUGUCCUCUUGCAGUUCUACUCUUUUUGAGCAUCUGUUAUGGGUGGCAUUGACCCUGUAUCUUGGUGGAGCGGUAGCGGAUCCCGGUCUAGAUUGACAUCUUUGACGUGGUGGGCUUCUCUUAUGGGGGCUUAUUAUUCCAUUUCUCCAGAGCUUGUCUAAGACAUGACGUAAGGUCUGGGGGGUAAUCCAACUCAGUUUGUUCGCCAUAUGUGGAAUUCCAGAAAGUGAUGGUUGGAUUUGAAAUGGACAGGUUUGGGUGAUCAAGAGUUUUUGCAAGGAUGGGUGCUUGGAGUUUGAGAAAUGCAGAGUCAAAGAUUAUUGGAGGCUAACUCCUCCUUAAACAAUUAAGCGUUUCUGCCCACAGGAGUUGAAAUUGAUCGCUGGUGUUCUCAUCUUGUGUUUCCAUGAGUACCAGCCACUAAAGCAGUGGAUCAAAUACUAUCUGCAAGUACAUGAACGCUUUAAACCAACAUUAACAAUAUUUUAGCUAUGCAUUUACACAAUGAACAAUCAGGAAACUUGAAAUAACAGAUGAAACGGCAAGAAAUUUCAGUAUCUCGAUCACCAACUCCGACAGAUAAGGACAACGCUCUCGCUUUCCUAUGAUGGUGUUGAGAGUGUGUAUGACAGUAUGAGUAUAUUCUGAAAAUGAUUGAUGUUACUGGAAAACUAAAAACACUAGAGGUACCCAUAUCUGAAACUUUCCUUGUGCAUGUUAUUAUGAAUUCACUCCCUGAUACAUAUACUCAACUCAAAGUGUCUUACAAUGCUUUACGUGAGAAAUGGGAUGUCAAUGAGUUAAUCUCCAUCUGUGUAAGUGAGAAGGUUAGGAUGAAAAAGGAGAAAAUGGACAAAGAAAAGGGUGAAAUGCUUAAUUUUGUUCAAAGCAACAAUAAGGAUGUCAAGGCAUCAAACUCGAAUGCCAUCAGGAAAGAUCAUAGUAGAAAUGUUCACUCGUCUUCCAAGGGGUUUUUUAAACCUAACAGACCUUUGGUUUUCAAAUGUUACUUUUGUAAAAAGGCCAGCCAUAUGAAGAGGAGUUGUCCUAAAUAUAAAGCAAGGCUUGCUAAACAAAAAGCUAAAAAGGCUAAAAAGGUUUUUGCUUGUUUUGAAAGUAAUUUGAUUGAUAUACCUAGUAGUGCUUGGUGGCUUGACUCUAGCUCUUCCGUUCAUGUUACGAACUUAUUACAGGACUUCAUAACAAGGAGAAUUCCAAAUAAAGAAGGUAUUCGUUGGCAAUGGGAGAAGGGUUGAAGUCAAGGCUCCAGGCACAGUUAGGCUUAAUUUGGAUUUUGGUUUUCAAUUAGAUUUGGAAAAUGUCGUUUAUUUACCUUUGAUGAGAAUGAAACUUGUUUCAAUUUCAAGAUUAGUUUUGUUAGGGUUUUAUUUUACUAUGAAUAAGUUUGGCUUCAAUAUUUUUUAUAAAUUCUUCCCAUAUUGGUACUGGAUUUUUGGUUGAUGGCAUGUUUCAGUUUUCACUUAAGAAUAAUCAAGUUAUAUUUAAUAUUGAGAGCAAAGAAACAAAAUCACUUUAGUCGUCGAACUUAUGGCAGAAAAGGCUUUUUCAUAUUUCAAAACCAAGGAUGGAACUCUUAGUGAAGUGAAAUCUUGCCUCCAUUAAAUUUUAAUGAUCUUGAUAUUUGUGUGGAGUGCAUCAAAGGAAAAUUCACUAAGUCUAGGAAGGAAGGUUCCACACUAAGCAAACAACUUUUGGAACUCAUUCAUAGGGACAGUGGAUGGCAGAAAGAAGAAAUAGUACACUUCUUGACAUGGUUCGAAGCAUGAUAAGCAAGGUAAAACUCCCAGAUACUGAAGAUAACGAGUUACAUUCUUAAUAGGGUUCAUAGCAAAACUGUGGAAAAGACUUCUUUCGAGUUAUAAACUGGGAGAAAGCCUAGUUUAAGACACAUUCAUGUCUGGGGUUGCCAAGCAGAGGCAAAGAUCUACAAUCCUAAUGGUAAGAAAUUAGAUUCCAAGACCAUCAGUUGUUACUUCGUGGGUUAUGCAGACAGAUCCAAGAGUUAAAGAUUUUAUUACCCUAAUUACAGCAUGAAAUUCGUUGAGACUGCAAGGGCAAUCUUCUUGGAACACACUAAAGGUAAUGAUGACUUUACUUCCAAUCCAAACAAGUUCGUGUUCGAGGAAGGAGAAGAUGCGGUUAUCGAGAAUGGGGUAGAGAUUGAAUAUUAUAAUAAAAUGACUAUCGUGGUUGAUAUUCCUAGGCAAAUGACUGAUAUUAAUGUUGAUGACAACCAUGAAGAUCAACUACACAAUAAUUAUGAAUAAGGUCAAAAUGUAGAGGUUCAAAAUGAGAUUGAAGUGCAUGCAAUUGUCACCAAUGAAGCAUAACCAAUCAUGCAGCAUGCACAACUAAUCAUACAACAAGCAUAAACAUUAAUGCAACAACCUACUAUUCCAUUGAGAAAAUCAACUAGGGUAAGAAAGUCUAACACUCUAGAAGAUUUUGUUUAUUUUGCUGAAAGUGAAUCACACUUGUCAGAAUUCGAAGACCCUAAUUCAUUCAAGGAAGCCAUGACUAGUGGCAACUCCGACAAGUGGAUUGAUGCAAUGAAAAAUGAAUUGAGUUAGAUGGAAAACAACAAUGUUUGGGAAUUAGUAGAACCAUUUCAGGGCAUCAAACCGAUAGGGUGUAAGUGGGUGUUUAAGACAAAAAGAGAUUCGAAAUGAAGCAUCGAAAGGCAUAAGGCGAGGCUAGUUACAAAGUGAUUUACUCAAAGAAGGGGUUGAUUAUAAAGAAACGUUCAGUCCGAUAUCGAUGAAGGAUGCAUUCAGAGUUAUUAUGAAAAUGGUGGUGCAUUUUGACUUGCUUUUACAUCAAAUGGAUGUAAAAACAGCCUUCUUAAAUGGUGUUUAGAAGAAGACAUAUACAUGGCUCAACCAUAGGGUUUUAUGGAGGAAGGGAAAGAACACUUAGUUUGUAAAUUGAAGAAAUCCAUGUAUGGAUUAAAGCAAACGUUUAUUGAAGAAAUCCAUUUAUGGCUCAACCAGUGGUACUUAAAAUUGUAAGAAUAAGGUUGAGAAUUAGACAGAAAAAUGACUUUGAGGCACGUUAAUACGUUUUCCUUAAAAUGAUAUUUGCCCCCACUCUAAUAUGAGUUUGCUAACGGGUCUAAAGCAAAUCACUUCCAGGAUACAACAAAGUUUGGAAUUUUAGUUUAGCAAGAACUGAAAUUCCCUUAAAAUCUUCUAAAAGGAAACUGUAUGAUUUUGAUGGAGAGAAAGAUGAUAAGAAACUAUUAUUUGAAUAAUUGUAUAUGGGAAUAUGCAGCCAACAUGGGCUAUAUAUAGAUUAUAUGGUGCCCGUUGAACUUAGUUCAAAGUGUGCAUAGAAAAGUCACUUCCUUUAACUAAAGUGUGUGAAGAUCAAAUAGAUCUUUCCAGCAUCCUUUCAUUCUUACCGAAUGAAUGAAAGCCUGCUGCCUUUUCAUAUAAGUGUCUUUCACCAAAAAAGGCGUAACAUUCUGAUUGAAUGAUCCAAGGGACAUAUCCCUUGUUGUGCUACGGAACUGCAGCCGUGCUUCUUCAAUCCAAGGGACACGACAUGGCACUGCAGCCAUGCUUCUUUAAUUUCAGAGACACGCCAAUUCAAAGGCACGGCCUGCAGCCAAAAGGCAUAUCACUGCCAGCCUUUCGCCCUUUAUCCCACUGUCAACACCAUAUAUAUAUAUAUAUAUAUAUAUAUUCAAUUCCAAGAGACAUGGCAUUGCAGCCAGUCUCUCACACAACAUCAUAUAUAUAUAUAUAUAUAUAUAUAUAUAUAUAUAUAUAUAUAUUAAUGAAAUACACCAACAAAAAUUUCAUCGAGUAAUAAGGGAGCAUGGUUUUUUUGAGAAUCCCUCUUAUGCAUGCAUUUACUUGAAAAUUCGUAGGAUCAACUUUAUUAUUUUGGUGUUCUACGUAGAUGUCAUUUUAUUGGCCACGAGCAGCAUGAGUCUCUUAGAUGACACCAAGUUUUUCAUGCAAAACCAUUUUGAAAUGAAGGAUUUGGGUGAGGCUGCAUAUGUUUUGGGUAUCGAGAUUAAAAGGGACAGGAAGUGAGGGUUACUAGGGUUGUCGCAGGAGGGAUUAAAAGAAAAAAUGUUGAAGAUAUUCAAUAUGUCAAUGUGUGGAACUACAGAAAUGCCGAUAUCCAAGGGAGACAAAUUGAGUAAAGAACAGUGUCCAACAAAUAACUUAGAGAAAGAAGCCAUGCAAGACAAGCCAUAUGCAUCACUAAUUGGGAGCCUAAUGUAUGCACAAGUUUGUACAAGGCCUGAUCUUGGGGAAAGUGAUUAUGUUUUAAGGACAUGACUCCCUUUAGUUCUUCAUAAAUGCUGGCAUAUGACAGAAACUGUUACUGGGAUUUUGUUGUUCCUAUUCUCAUGGCCAUUGAAGUAUGAUUUCUUAUAUGGUGGCAUGUGUGAAAACAAGUGUUGGCUCUAGUGGGAGAAUGUAAUCUAAUUAGAGCUACACACUUGGUUUAUCACGUGCUUAAAGGAUUGAAGUCAUAAGAGAUUGGGAUAGACUAGACUUGUAAAGCUAUCAGAGAAUGUUUUUUUAUCUAAUAUAAAGCUGAAAGUAAUCCUGGUAUCAAUAGGUUUAACUAUUAUGAUAUGAUAACUUUGGUUUGUGGUGAUAAGGAUAUUAGUUUAUACAAAUUGAUUAGGAUUACAUGAUGGGAAAUAACCUAAUCAAAUACCACCACUAAGGAUAUAUAAUAGAGGUCCCUGCAUUCACACUAAUUACGCAAAAGAGAGAGAGAGAACAAGCCUAUUGUUUGUUAAUUGCAUACAAUAGUGUUGAGUGUAAAUGAGCUCUAGUUUUUCUGCUGCAAUGGCUACACAAGGUUAGUGGUUAAUUGUAUUUGUGAUUUGCUUAUUUCCGCUAUUAACUAUAUUACAUGGAUUGUUGGGGUUAUCUUAAAAGGGUUACAUCGACAAGGUUUUAAAAAGAUUCAACAUGGCUUCUUGUGGCAUUACUGAAAUGCCAAUUUCAAAGGGUGACAAAUUAAGCAAAAAGCAGUGUCGCAAGAGUGAGUUGGAAAGAAGAAACAUGGAAGGCAAACCAUAUGCCUCUCUUGCUGGAAGCUUGAUGUAUGCACAAGUGUGCGUAAGACCUGAUCUUGCUUUCAGUAUCAGUGUUCUUGGAAGGUUCCAAUCUGACGCAGGGGUGGCUCACAUGAAUGUAGCCAAGAGGGUAUUGAGGUACCUUCAAAGAACCAAGGAACAUAUGCUUAUUUACAGGAAAACUGAUGAGCUUGUGUUAAAAGGGUAUAGUGAUUCAGAUUUUGCUGGAUGUCCAGAUGACCUUAAGUCUACUUCAGGUUAUAUUUUCACUAUGGCAUGUGGUGCAAUUUCGUGAAGAAGUGUGAAGCAGGCAACAGUGGCAGCCUCUACCAUGGUGGCUGAAUAUCUCUCAUGUUGUGAAAGUAUCAAUCAAGCUAUAUGGUUGAAAAUUUUCAUUGCAGGACUUAGUGCAGUGGAUUGUACUUCGAGACCAAUUCAAAUUUGUUGGGAUAAUAAUGCAGCUAUUUUCUUCAGCAAGAACAACAAAAGAUUAUUUGCAACAUGGAAUUUAGAUAUCAAAUAUUUGAUUGCUCGAGAGAAGGUUUGGUGAAGAUUGAUUACUAGGAGACCGGUUUUAUGGUUGUAGAUCCUUUAAACAAAGCAGUUCCAAUUGUGGUUUUCAAGAACUAUGUUGCAAACAUGGGACUGUUAGCUAGUUUUGAUGAUGUUAAUUAGGGGAACAAGUAAAUCUUCUAACGUGUUUUGUUGUUACUCACUAGUUCACAUGACUGGUAUUUAUGAAUAAGUAUUAAUAAAGUUUUCUUCAUUGAUAAGGUUUCCCCACUAAUGAAGUCUUAAAAGUUGUGUGGUUGUUUCGAAGUUUUCCCUCUAGAUGUACAACUUUAAUUAUGACAGUAUGCGUAUAUGUUAUUAUGCAAAUGGUUUUGACAAUAUUAUGAUGUUGGAAAUUUGAAUAGUUUGAGUAGAAAUUUCUUUGUCCCACAUUGGCCAUUCCCAAAAGAUUUUAUCACUUUAUAAGGUUUUGUCCUUUAUAGAAAGUGAUUGGAGUAAUAGGCCUGGAGAAUAAAAUUUGGCUCAUCCUUGGGGUUGGGCUUUGGGGUGCACUAAUUAAUUGGUAAUUAAUUAUAAUUAAUAUAUAAUUAAUUAUCAAAAGAUGGGCCUUGGGCCUUGGGGCUUGGGCUCUAAUAAUUAAAUUAUUUAAUUAAUUAUUUUCAUAUUUAAUUAAUUAUUUUUAAUUAAUUUUGAAUUUAAUUAAUUAUUUGUUUUUUUACCAACAGACUCAUCCUUUCAGAUGAAGUCUGAAGAGUUUAGAAAGAACACAGAACAAAGCACCCCUCUGGAGAAGAUGUCUCCCAACAGACACAUCACAUUCUCAUACCUGUUGCGAACAGGCAUCCUUCUAUUAUAUAUACAUCCAUUUGCAUGGCAUUUAAGACACAAAAAAAAUCAAUAUUCUUCUUCUACAAUCUCAAACAUCCUUUCUGAGAGAACCACACAGAAGUUCACCAGAGGUUAAGUUUUCCGGUGCUGGAAUCCUAACUUGAUCGUUGAAUCCUGGUGAAGCAGACGUCCGUAGAACUACAAGCACUGAGUAGGGACGAAUUUCUGUUUCAAGGAUAUUGUGGUACGCAAGCCUCGAUCUUCAAUCUUUCUAUUUUAAAUUAUUUCGUUGUUCAUACUCUGUUCAAUAUUUAUUCGUAUUUAUUAUUUAUUAGCAUAUAUAAAAUUAUCACAGAUUGUUGACAUAUAUCCAACAAUCUUGAAACAGAAAUUCGAUGGAUCAACAAUCUGUAAAUAUGAAUGGCGCUGUGCCAAAGUAAUCUGAAAAGCCUGAGAAGUUCAAAGGGCUGGACUUCAAGAGAUGGCAACAGAAAAUGUUGUUCUUCCUGACAACAAUGAAUCUCGCUCAUGUUGUCAAGGAAGAAGCUCCGAAGUCUAAUGAGAAUCCAAUGACAAAAGAAACUGUCAUGGCAAUCGAAGCUUGGAAUCAUUAUGAGUUUUGUUGCAGGAAUUAUAUUCUGAAUAGUUUGGAUGACAAUCUCUACGACAUUUAUUCUCCGUGCAAGACAGCGAAUGAGUUGUGGGAAUCCUUGGAGAAAAAGUAUAAGAUUCAUGAUGCCGGUUCAAAGAAAUUUGUUAUCGGUAAGUUUCUCAAAUAUACAAUGGUGGAUUCCAAAUCUGUUGUUUCUCAAGUCGAAGAAAUCCAGAAAUUGAUCUAUGAACUGCACUCCGAGGGAUGCGAGAUCAAUGAGCAUUUCCAAGUUGGGGCGAUAAUUGAAAAAUUGCCAACUUCGUGGAAUGACUUCAAAAUUUAUCUCAAGCACAAGCGUCGUGAGAUGAAUAUGGAGGAUUUGAUCAUGAGGCUACGAGUGGAAGAAGACCACAGAAAGGCUGAUCAUUCUGAAGGGUUUACUGCCAUUGAAGCCAAUGCAAAUUAUGUUGAGGGAGGAAACUCCAAGGCCAAGCCGAAGAAGAAUAAGGCUCUGAAAACCAAGCAGUUUGUACAAUCUGCCCUUGCUCCCAAAGGCAAGAAUCUGAAGAAGAUUAAGGGCGCAUGCUAUGUGUGUGGCAAAUCUGGUCACAAGGCACAAGAUUGUUAUCAUCGUAAGGAUGGAAAUCAUGUCAACGGAAACAACAACAACCAUGCUAACAUGGCAACCACCAAUGGAGAAUUGGCUGCUGUUAUGUCCGAGGUCAACAUGGUCUCAAAUGUCAGUGAAUGGCUGUUAGAUACUGGUGCUACUAAGCACAUCUGCACUGACAAAAAUCUAUUCACUGAAUACCAUCUUGCUACCCAUGGAGAAAAGCUGUAUAUGGGCAAUUCUGCCUUAUCUGCGGUGGAGGGCAAAGGCAAAGUGGUACUCAAAUUCACAUCUGGAAAGAGUCUCACCUUGCUGAAUGUGCUGCAUGUUCCUGAAAUAAGGAGGAACUUGGUUUCUGGACCUAUUCUAAUUACUAAGGGCUUUAAACUUGUAAUGGAAUCCAACAAAUUCGUACUUACCAAGGGUGGGAUGUUUGUUGGAAAGAGUUAUGUGGCUGAUGGCCUCGUGAAACUCAAUGUAAUUGCCAUUGAUGAUACUAAUAAAAUAAAUGCUUCUACUUAUAUUGUUGAGUCUUCUAAUAUUUGGCAUGCUAGAUUAGGACAUGUUAAUUUUCGUUCCAUACAUAGAAUGGUUAAAUUAGACUUAUUACCUAAAUUCAAAAUUGAUUUUAAUCAUAAGUGUGAAACAUGUAUUGAAUCGAAAUUUGCUAAGCAAACGAGAAAGUCAAUUCUGGAAAGAUCAAAUGAAUUACUUGGAUUAAUUCAUAGUGAUCUUUGUGACUUUAAAUCCACACCAACUCGUGGAGGAAAGAAUUAUUAUGUCAAUUUUAUUGAUGAUUGCAGUAAGUAUUGCUAUGUUUAUUUGAUUCAUAGCGAUGACGAAGCUUUGAAUAUGUUUAAGACAUAUAAAGCAGAAGUUGAAAAUCAACUAGAGAGAAAAAUCAAAGCACUUAGAUCCGAUAGAGGAGGAGAGUAUGAGUCUACUGCCUUCUCAAAUUUUUGUGCACAACAUGGAAUUAUACAUCAAACAACGACUCCAUACACACCACAACAAAAUGGUGUUUCCGAAAGAAAAAAUAGAACAUUCAAAGAUAUGAUUAAUUCCAUGUUAAAUAGUUCAGGGCUUCCACAUAGUUUGUGGGUGAAGCUUUACUUACUGCAAAUACCAUAUUGAAUAAGGUUCCUCUAAAGAAGAUUGACGAGUCACCUUAUGAACUAUGGAAAGGACAUAGACCACUUAUAAAACCCUCAAAGUGUGGGGUUGCUUAGCAAAGGUGCAAGUUCCGUUACCAAAAAGAACGAAACUAGGACCUAAAACUAUUGAUUGUGUAUUCAUUGGAUAUGCAAAUAAUAGUGCUGCUUAUAGGUUCCUUGUUGUAAAAUCUUCGAUUUCUGACAUACAUGUCAACACUAUAUUAGAAUUAGCGGAUGCGGAAUUCUUUGAGGAUAUAUUUCCUUACAAAGAAAAGGAAUCUAGUUCUAAUACAAAGAGGGUUCAUGAUCAUAGUCAUGAUGAAGCCUCUUCUUCUGGUGUCCAAGGAAAUGAUGUGGAACCAAGAAGAGGAAAAAGAAUCAAAGUUUCUAAAAACUUUGGACCAUAUUUCAUUGCUUUCUUGUCGGAGAAUGAACCUAGAACUUUUAAAGAAGCAAUGUCUUCUUCUGAGGCUUCUUUAUGGAAGGAAGCAAUUAAAAGUAAAAUGGAAUCCAUUAUGGAAAAUAACACAUGGGAAUUGGUUGAUUUACUUCCCGGUAGUAAACCAAUUGGCCAUAAAUGGAUUUUCAAGAAGAAACUUAAGGCGGAUGGAACCAUUGAUAAGUUCAAAGCACGUUUAGUAGCCAAAGGUUAUCGCCAAAAAGAAGGGUUGGAUUAUUUCGACACCUAUUCUCUAGUUUCUCGCAUAACGUCAAUUAGGACGUUAAUAGCGAUUGCGGCUGUAUACAACUUUGAUAUACAUCAAAUGGAUGUAAAAACAGCAUUUUUAAAUGGAGAACUAGAUGAAGAAAUAUACAUGGAACAACCUGAAUGGUUUGUGCUUAAAGGACAAGAAAGCAAAGUGUGCAAAUUAGUUAAGUCAUUAUAUGGACUUAAACAAGCACCAAAACAAUGGCACGAGAAAUUUGAUCAUACUUUGUUGACACAUGGGUUCAAAAUAAAUGAAUCUGAUAAAUGUGUCUACAUUAAGAGUAAUGAUAAAACUUCUGUUAUUGUCUGCUUGUAUGUGGAUGAUAUGCUCAUAAUGGGAAGCGAUAAAGAUGUAAUAAACAAAACAAAGAAAAUAUUGAAUUCAAGUUUUGACAUGAAAGACUUAGGUCAAGCCGAUGUCAUUUUAGGAAUUCAAAUUAAGAGAAAUAGUGAAGGAUAUGUCCUUACACAAUCCCAUUAUGCAGAAAAAAUAGUACAAAGGUUUGGUCAGUUUGACUGCAAACCAGCUGCAACUCCUUUUGAUGUUGGAUGCAAGUUGGAGAAAAAUAAAGGCGAUGCCAUAUCUCAACUUGAAUAUUCUCAAGUAAUUGGAAGUCUCAUGCACUUGAUGAAUUCAACUAGGCCCGAAUUAGCUUAUGCAGUAAGUAGGCUUAGUAGAUAUACAAGUAAUCCGACAUAAGAGCAUUGGGAUGCUUUAGUACGAGUGUUAAGGUAUUUGAAAAAUACACUUGACUACUGAUUACACUACAUUACACUACACAAAAUAUCCACCUGUUGUAGAAGGCUUCAGUGAUACCAAUUGGAUUCUGACACUACAGAAUCCAAGUCGACAAGUGGAUAUGUUUUUACCUUGGGAGGUGCAGCAAUAUCUUGGAAAUCCUCUAAAUAGAAAUGUAUAGCUCGGUCCACCAUGGAGUCCAAGUUUAUAGCUUUAGACUUGGCUGGCGAAGAAGCCGAAUGGCUCAAAAAUUUUCUGGAGGAUAUUCCAAUGUGGCCAAAGCCGGUAACGACUAUAUGUAUACAUUGUGAUGGUAUGGCCGUGCAAUUAAGGGCCAAAAGUCAUGUAUACAAUGGGAAGUCACGUCACAUCAGACGUCGACAUAAUACUCUUAAAAAGUUGCUCUCCAAUGGAAUAAUAUCCAUUGAUUAUGUAAAGUCAAAGGAAAAUAUAGUUGAUCCUUUGACAAAAGGCAUACCAAGAGAGCAAAUAUUAUUUACAUCGAGGGGAGUGGGUCUUAAGCCAAUUCAAUGAAUCGAACUGGGCGGAAACCUAACCUAGCUGAUUGGAGAUCUCAUGGUCUAGGUUCAAUAGGCAAACUGGUUGAGUUUGAUUCAAAAGUUGAACACACAACUUACCCAUUCUUAUGAUAAAAUGUGUGUUGUCUGUUAACGUUUGAGGGAUUAUGUUUUAUACACUUAAUGACAUUAAUAUCUUGUUAUCAAGAGGAAUAUGACAGACUAUUCUUAAUUAAUGUCACCUAUAUAGGAGUAAAUGGGGCCACAUUUAUGAGAAUUGACAUGGCUAAAUUCUCUAAAACUCCUACGAAAUCUGGGAUCUGUUCAGGGCCAAAAUGAACACAACCAUAUGAAUUUACGUGUGGCAGACAUGAUAUGUGUGUAGUAAUUGUCUCAGUUUACUACUGCGGUGGACAAUUCAAGAUCUUCCACAUCCACUGCGUCACCAAGUAAACCCGAUAUGUUUGCACUAGGGUAAGUUCAAGUCCAAAAAACGCUUCACUCGAUGCAAAUCAUGUCCAUUCUCUCUCAGUUUUAGGCAGACUAGUCAUCCAUUUGCAUUUACAUUUGCAUUCAAAUGUGGGGUAAUUGUUGGAGUUUGAAUGAAAUUUCAACUCAAAUGUGGGUAUUGUUGGAAAUUUGAAUAGUUUGAGUAGAAAUUUCUUUGUCCCACAUUGGUCAUUUCCAAAAGAUUUUAUCACUUUAUAAGGCUUUGUCUUUUAUAGAAAGUGAUUCGAGUAAUAGGCCUGGAGAAUAAAAUUUGGCUCAUCCUUGGGGUUGGGCUUUGGGGUGCACUAAUUAAUUGGUAAUUAAUUAUAAUUAAUAUAUAAUUAAUUAUCAAAAGAUGGGCCUUGGGCCUUAGGGCUCGGGCUCUAAUAAUUUAAUUAAUUAAUUAAUUAUUUUUGGAUUUAAUUAAUUAUUUUUAAUUAAUUUUGAAUUUAAUUAAUUAUUUGUUUUUUUACCAACAGACUCAUCCUUUCAGAUGAAGUCUGAAGAGUUUAGAAAGAACACAGAACAAAGCACCACCCUGAAGAAGAUGUCUCCUAACAGACACAUCCCAUUCUCAUACCUAUUACGAACAUGCAUCCUUCUAUCAUAUAUACAUCUAUUUGCAUGGCAUUUAAGACACACAAAAAAAUCAAUAUUCUUCUUCUACAAUCUCAAACAUCCUUUCUGAGAGAACCACACAGAAGUUCGCCAGAAGUUAAGUUUUCCGGUGCUGGAAUUCUAACUUGAUCGUUGAAUCCUGGUGAAGCAGACUUCUGUAGAACUACAAGCACUGAGUAGGGACAAAUUUAUGUUUCAAGGACAUUGUGGUACGCAAGUCUAGAUCUUCAAUCUUUCUGUUUUAAAUUAUUUCGUUGUUCAUACUCUGUUCAAUAUUUAUUCGUAUUUAUUAUUUAUUAGCAUAUAUAAAAUUAUCACAGAUUGUUGACAUAUAUCCAACAUAUGAUUGUCAGUAGGACAAACAACCAAGAGUUUCAAUAUGAAACAUUAAGAUGAAUUGAUGUAUCGAUUCUUAAGGGGACCAAGUGCAGGAUGUGAGAAAUUAUACAUCUACAGACACAUUUUACACAAAUUUUGCAUCUUGUAUGUGUUAGUUUUGUGAAUGGAAUUAUGGGGAUAUUGUUCGACAAAUUGAACAUGUUACCAUUUAGUUCUUCAUGAAUACUAAUUAAUGACCUGAACUUGUAUUCGUGAUUCAAGUUGGUGUUGAUCUCCUGGCCAUUUAAGAAUAACUUCACAUAAGGCUAGCUACUGUUGAAUCAAGCGUUAACUCUAGUGGGAGAAUGUAAGUUCUAACGAGAGCUGAACACUUGAUCAUCUUUAGUUUGGAGAUGUGAGGAUAUAAGAGAUUGGAAUUAACUGAGGUUGUAAGCUAAUAAGGAAUUUGUAUAAUAGAGGUUUCAGCUAAAACAGUCAUGAUAGUGUUGAAACACUAAUAAUGGAUGGGAAUGAUAGGUUUUCUCGGUGAUAAGGUUAGAUUGAUUAGGAUUGUAUAAUGGGAAGAGCCUUUAUCAAUCAUCAUCGUAUGCAGUAUAAAAAAGGGGUCCAUGCGCUCUCUCAAUCACGCAAACUAAAGAAUACUCAGAUCUCAUUCAUUGAGCGUGAGGAGAGCUGCAGAAGAUCCCUAGUUUCCAAGAGAUGUCUUCUUCAGGUUAGUGGUUACUUUUGUACUGUGAUUAUUCUAUUCCGCUGACUUUGUUUAUAUUGAUCUUACAGUUGUUACCAGAGCUUUAUGUGGGCUAUUCUUGGUACAGUUUUCGGUUCUGAUUCAUUAAAGUUGCAGCUGGUUGUUUCGCCUGGAUCACAGUUAGUUCUGCUAUUGCCAGAUCUAUUAUAGCAGAGGGCGACUUGGGCCAAAUAUAUUAAUGGUUUACUUCCAUUGUUGCUCUUCUUCUGGUUUUGUUGAUAGCAUCUGAUAUUGACGGAAUGUCCGCCGGUUUUGGACUCAAUGGCCUUUGUUAUCUGAUCGAUGGAGUACAAUUUGUACAACGACGUCUUGGGCUGAAGUAGUUGGGGUACAAUAUUAGCCUUCUGCAGGAUUUGAGCUAUAUCAAAAUCAUGGUACAUCGCUAGGGUCUUCCGGAAGUACUCGGUCUUCAGGAACACAUUGUCGGAGCACUUUCCGUGCUUAUCAUACUCUCGUUGCCAGAAUUCGACAUGCUCCCCUUUUCUCCAAUCCCACCACGAACUGAGUAGCUCCUUUUUCAGUGUAUCAUUCAUCUACAUUUAUUAUUUAAUUAAAAUAUAAGAACAGAACUAGUUAAGAAUACACGUACAUAAACGGUACACAUGCAGGGAGAUAUAUAAUGAUACAUAUAUACAUACAUACACACACGUAGGACACAUGCAUAUUAACUAUUGAGAGUUAAUUUGUGAAUAAUUACCUCAUUCACAUUAAAGGCAUCCCCUUUGCAGCCAAGGGAUGAAGAGGAUGAUUUAUUCGCAGGCCAGAGACCAUGAAUAGUGAACUGAAGAUGAGAUGGUUGCAUGAUGUGGCAUUUAUUCACCCCCCCUGUAGCUUGGCAUUCAGCAGCUGGCCAGAACUGAACAUGCAUAAAGUAUUGGAAUGGUGUGUAAGCGGAUGAAACUGUGACAAACAAGAAGAAAAAUAUGACUUGCACUAACUUCGACUCCAUUUCUAAUUCUACCUGAUGUUUUGAAGACAAAGUUGCAUGUAUUUAUAGUACCUAUGGGGUGGAGGUGGAGGUGGAGGUGGUGGAGGGGUUAAAAUGAAACCAUCGAAACAAAUGCGAAAUUGUGAAAAACUUAAUUAGGUAACAUUCCUACUCCCACUACAAAUGAAAAUCAGUAUAUAACUUGUUACAUAUCACUAUCAAGUUUUCAAUUUAUAGGCAAAAGAAACUGCAUGCAUGUGUAGACAUGCUGUGAGAAAUUUGAAACCAACACAUGCUGUGAGAAAUUUGAAACCAACACAUGAUGUGAGAACUUUGAAACUAACACAGAUUAUUGUUUUGUUUCCAUUUCAAGAAGUCACCAACAAAUCACAUAUAUACAUUUUUCAAGUACUCCAUCACGACCAUUACACAUGCCACCUUCCCCCGUCUAAAUAAUAAAUUAAUUUCCAAUCAAGCCAAGGCUGCUCACGUGAGGAACCUUCAUUCGACCUGAAUGUCAUGAAUAUCAAUCAAUAAGAAACCCACUUAGUAUUAUGACUAUUUUUCCCUUUAUGGUAAAUAUUGAAUUAAAUUGAAGAACUCCUAAUUAUAUACAAAUUAUUUACCUAUGAUAUUGAUGUUUAAAACACUUUUUUUUUUUUUGUUGAAUUGUAUAGUCUAUAUCUAUGAAAAAUAUUUACUUAACAUCUUCAUCUAAUUACCUAUAAGAUAGAUAGCUAUGGAUAAAGAUACCAAGACAAUUAUAUACCUAAAGCAAAGAUAUAUAAACACGAUUAUGAGUUAUCACCGUAACAAGUUCUAAGACAUGUAGAAGCAAAAAGAAAAUAUACUACAUGUAGUUGUUGGCAUUUUUGAUUGGGUAUUUCAAUAUACAACCCCUCAUUGAUCAUGUUAAUAUCAUUCUUAAUGAUUUCUUCUAAUCUCAAUUUCAAUUUUGUUUGCAAACCAAAAACUAAUGCAUUAAAGCGGUUAUAAUAUUGGGGCUAUAAAUUAGACUUUCUCUUUAAAUAUGCCAUCUUGAUUAACCCAUUAAUUGGGCAAGUAUAUAGGCUAACGUUUUUAGACCAUGCUUAAUUAUGUUUACUUUCUCAUAUUCUAUGUAAAACCAACUCUUCAAGCCGUGAGGAUUAUGGUUGAUGUCUUUACCUAGACUACUCCUAAAUUUGGUGGGCCGGAGAUCGAACCUCACAUCCCUAUCUUGGGAUCUAUCCAAAUGAUGAGUCGUGAGGAUGCCCUUAACAAGUUUAGAUUUGCUCCUACGGAUGACAUCGUUGCUAAAGUUGAUCGGGUGGUUACUAAGAAUUAUUAUCACCAGUGUGUUUCACUAUUGAUGGAUCGAGAGGUAUAUAUUUUCUCGAUCCCUUGUUAAUACAUAUUCAUUUUCUUGAUGUUUUGUUUCGUUUCCUUUUCAUCUUUCUCAUUUUGGUUUAAGCUUGAAUAGACUCACUUAAUGCGUUGGAACAAAUGAGUAAGCAAUGGUCAGAUUCAAACUAGGUUCACUAGUUUGUGCCAAUUUCCUCUUUCGGGGCUAUGAAUCCUUUGAACCAGAAGGCCUGCCAUGCUUCAGGGUAGGAGCAGGUGAUUGGCUAGCUGCCAAUGUACCUUGCCAUGUGGGAGGUGCGGCCUCCUCACCCUCGGGGACGGUUCGGCUUUCCACACGGUGUUACAGCGUAUGAUCGGUACAUCCAUCCUUACAGUACGUUUGCAGCGGGUAUAUGUGAUCUCAUCACCUUCGUUAGAUCAGUAAAAGCAUCCAGCAUGGUUUGAGCAAUGCUCUAAAGAUCUAGAAUGCAUUGCACUUCGGUUUCAGAUUGAGGCGUGCGGGGAUCUAAAUGAGACAUAGUGGGAGUAAUCCACGACAAUUCGCACCGUUUUACAUAAUUGUUAGUGAUCUUAUCUCCCUCUAACGAUGGGAAGACUGUCUCAUCGAAGUGACAAUCUGCAAAGAGUGUGGUAAAGAGAUCUCCUGUCAAGGGCUCUAAGUAACGUAUAAUGGAUGGCAAAUCAUAACCGACAUAGAUUCCCAGUUUUCUUUGAGAACCCAUUUUGGUACGUAGCGGCGGCGCUAUUGGCAUAUAAAAUGCGCACCCAAACACACGUAAAUGCGAGACAUCAGGCUCAUAUCCAGUAACCAACUAUAAUGGUGAAUGAGGUUGGGUAGCGGUGGGCCUCAGGCGAACCAAUAUAGCUGCGUGCAAUAUUGUGUGGCCCAGGCAGAUAUCGGCAAAUUGGUUCUCAUAACCAAAGUUCGAGCUAUCAUUUGAAGGUGCUUUAUGAAAGCUUCUGUCAAGCCGUUUUAGGUAUGAACAUGGGGUAUAGAAUGUUCAACUUCAAUCCUAACAGACAUGCAAUAAUCGUCAAAGGUAUGUGACGUAAACUCUCCAACAUUAUCCAGUCAUAUCAACUUGAUGGGAUACUCAGGGUGGUGAGCCCUUAGCUUAAUAAUUUGUGCUAGGAGUUUCACAAAUGCAGCGUUACGUAUGGACAAUAAGCAGACAUGUGACUAUCAUGUUGAUGCACCAACCAACACCAUAAAGUAUCUUAAUGGUAUGCAUGUUGGUUGGACAGGUCCACAAAUAUCCCCUUGAAUCAUUUGAAGAAAUUUAAGGGGGUCGUAAAUAAUCUUUGUAAAUGAGGGUUGAAUGUUCAACUUAGUCAUGGAACAUGCUUUGAAAAGCGGAUGGCUUGGAUAAGAUUUCAAGUAAUGCACAUGAUAUGCUUUGAGGAUACGGCGCAUCAUAUCUCGUCUAGGGUGUCCCAUUCGAUCAUGCCAAAGCAGGAGAGUGUCCUGGAACCCAGCACUAGGGUUGGCCACAUGGUGUGUCUUUACAACUCGAAUGGUUGUUAUGUACAACCCACUCGGGAGACUUUCCAGCUUCUCGUGAAUAUGCUUUCGGCCAUAUUCGUGUGAAGUGAUACAAAGAAAUUCAGAACUAUUCUCUUCAGUGGUUUCAACAUGAUAUUGGUUAUCUCGAAUGUCUCUAAAACUCAGCAGUGUUCUUCCGGAACGUGGAGAAUAGAGUGCCUUUUUAAUGUUUAAUUCAGUACCAUUAGACAACAUUAUACGGGCCUUUCUGUAUCAUUCUAUCAGGUUGGAUGGGUCUGAGAGGGUUGUCAGAGGUGCAUUCUUAGGUACGAAGUUAGUGAAAUAGUGUUUCUCACGCAAUAUGGUAUGCGUGGUCGCACCAUCAGCCAGACAAUUAACUUCCCCACUAGUCAUACCUAGAAAUAAAUUAAUUGAAUUGGUCACAUAUAUAAAUAUAAUUCCAUUCAUUCAAUUAAUCAAUUCGAGAAAUAAUAUCCAUAAAAUAAUAUCCAAAGUUCAAAACAAACCAAAACCAAACAAAUAAUUCCAAAUACUUAGAAAAAUUGUCUGAAAAUUAAAUCAUAAACCUUAGAAAAAAAUAGGGAGGGAGGCUUGGCCACUCCUAAUGGGUUCAACCACUAGGGGUUAAAACGCCUUAAAAUAUGUCUAAAAUUUAUUCUUCCAUAUGAGUGGAUGCUUCCUGAAAAUCUGAAACCUCCAGAGUUACAGUAAUAGCUUCGGGGAUUGCUCCAUGCUCAAAGUUGGACUCAUGACGUGAAUCAUACUUGACAAUGGCCUCGGGGGUAGCUCGGCAUACGCAUGACCAAUGAUCCCUUGAUCCAUGGCGAUAACACAUGUCCAGUUCAGUGGAAUCCAAUUGAACUGUAGCUUUUCCCUUGUUCUUGAAUUUUGGGGCCAUGAGGGCAAAGGGUUGGCGCUUCUGGAUCAAGUUUUCUCAUUUGGAUGGGCCUUUGUUCGGUGGAUCUUGGGCUCGUGGUGGAGCCUGUUGUCCCUUGCCAUGGCCACAACAGGAUCUUCGUCGGUUUUGGUUGUUCGAAGUUGUCGCAUGUCCUUAAGCGCGACGUUCGAUCCGGUAAGUCUAGCUUGAUGAUUUUUCAUCAAAAGAUGGUUCUGUUUUUCAGUGAGAAGUAGAACAUAUAUCAAAUCCAAAAAUUUGGUGAACUUUUGUGCCUUAUAUUGUUACUGCAGGACAAUAUUGGUGGUAUUAAAGGUCUAGGUCUUUUCCAGGAGAUUCUGUUCGGUUAAGUCCUUAUUACAGAACUUAAGUAGUGAUCGGAUUUUACAAACUUCAGAGUUGUACUCAUUCAAAGAAUUAAAGUCUUGGAAGUGUAAAUGCUGCCAGUCGUGUCUUGCUUCAGGCAAAAAGAUGUCUUUCUGGUGAUUGAAACGAUCUACCAAAGUGAGCUAGAGGGUACAUGGAUCCUCCUCUGCGAGGUACUCGGUCUACAGUGCAUCAUGGAUGUGUCUUCGAAUGAAGAUCAUAGUAACAGCUUUCUAAGCUUCGUCGACGGGUGCAUCGUCAGUUGGUUCCUCAAUGGUAGCUCUAAAACUCUUUGCAGUAAGCUUCACAUCUUGAACCCACUUCAAGUAGUUUCUUCCGGAGACUUCUAGAACGAUGAAAUCAAGCUUGUUCAAGUUCGACAUGUCCCUAAACAGAGGGUACACCAAAACGUGGUUAGUCAUAUAGACAUAUAUCGUAGAACAUUCGGGUUCUAUAGACAUGUAUUGGUUUAAUUUAUGCAUAAAAGCUAUAGGUUUUAUGUGGUAAGUUUUGAAUGAAAACUUCGGGUUUCAAAGGCACUAAAUUCGAAACUACAUGUUUGAUUUAGUUAUGAACGUUUAGUUCACAUAGGGGUACCUGCAAGAACAUAAAAUACAAUAUACAAUAAAGUGUAGUGGAUUUAUGGAUUGUUUCAGGAACCCUAGUGUUAGUGCUUCAAGACUACGAAAGAUAGUCAACGAUUCAAAGAAACUAAAUAACUUCUUGAGUCGUUAAUGCCAAAAAGUGAGCUUCAUGCCAAUAAUUUUACAUUAAUUGUCAGAUAAGUAGACUGCUGGUCACUUUAAUUAAUUCAAUAGAUUGAGAUUAUUUAAGAUGCCAAAAAUUAGCAUUGGAUCGAAAAAGGAUAGCCCAAAAAUAUUUGGGCUUGGGUUCGGCUGCAAAUAGGCAACCCACUGGUGGCUGCAGGCCAGGGGCCAAGAGAACUAGGUAAGCCGAGCAGCCAAGACUGCUGGCAUUGGGCCAACGGGGUGCGCGGGGACAAGCCCAGCCGAAGCAAGCUGGUGGGUUAUCACAUGGAAGGCCCAACCGAAGCUGAAGCCUGGUCUUUGGGCCAAAGGAAGAAGCCCAGCCAUUUGGGCUGGCUGUUUGGUUGCGAGUCAGGCAAGAUCAAAGCCCAACAAGCUGCGGGUUGUGCUAAAAUAGGCUUGAAUGGGCCAAGACUUCAGGCCCCUGUCAGGGGACAAGCCCAGCAUGCUUCUAGCGUGUGGUUUUGGGCUGGAUUAGUUCAGGGCUUCAGGACCAUGUAUCAUACAACCCAAGCCGAAGCUUGGGUUAAGUUCGAGCGAUGCAGCAAGUGUUGAACAACAAAAAUAUAUAACAUAUAAAAAACAUAAAGUUCAUACAAAUGGGGUCAAACUACAAGACAAAACAAAAGAUGUAAUCCAGCCCAAAAAAUAUGAGGAUGGGCUUUACAUACAGAUCAACAUCCAUAAAUAAAAUAAAAAGAAAAAGAAAAGAAAAUAUGUAUUUCUUCCUACAAAAAGGGGAAGUAACAUGCACUAAGGUCUCUUAUUUUUCUGCAAGGCUUGGAAAAACUGCACAGUUGGUGGAGGAGGUUAAGAGAAAGUGGCAGGAGGUCAUGGCCUCCAUCUCCCCCACGUAACAAAUUCUAGAGCCUUCCUAAGAUGCCUAUGAAUAGGCAUCAGUUGCAACAAGGCGAGGAAGACACAGAAAAGAGAGGGGAUACUCUGCAAAAAAAAAAAAAGAGAAACAUUGAGAGAAAAUACCAAAAGCAACAAGGUGCUAUAAGAAAAUAGAGCAAGCAGUUCAAUCAUUUAUGCUUUCGAGUCAAGAUCCAAAAGAAGAACAUUCAUCACCAGGUAUGAAACAAGUUUUGUUAAUUUCUUUAUUUCUUUUGUUUGAUGUUGUGUUGCAGACAAAAAUAAAGAAAAAAAGGCGUAAUCAAUUAUCUAGAGUCUGUAACCUUCAAUUUAAUACAAGAAAAUCACAACGCUUAAAAGAGAAAUGAAGAAGAGGACAUGGAGUCCCCACUGAUAGCAGCAGAAAUAAUCUUCAAAAUCCCAUGAAUUUCUUCGGGGUGGUCUAAACCACCUUGUGAAGUUCCAAUCAAAUUUAAGAGAUCUGUAUUCGCCGUCCAUGCCAAGAAAGAAGGGAGUCAUCAAUGUCACGGCAAGCAAUGGAUUCAAUAAAGAAAUAGCAAGUUUUUUCAACCCCAAAUAUUGACAGUAACCUAUUCUUCACCAACGGUGCAGAAGCUUGUUGGCAAAAAUAGAACAACAUGAUCCAAGAGGAUGGCAUGUUGCUGGUGUUCUAUACUUGAAAGGUCACGCAAGAAAAGGACGAAGAAGAAAAGUUUUUCAGAUAGCAUAAAAGCCAUUCACGUGGCCAUCAUGUUGGAUAAAAGAGACAAAGGAUCAAGGGAAAAGUGCAUAUGUUAAGAAGCCAUUCACGUGGUCAUUGGUAAAAAAAAUAAUAAGAAAGCAGGCACAGGGACAAAGGAAAAUUGCAUAUGUUGACAAAUGAACAAAGGAAAAGAAGCCAAAAAUUUUGAUAAAAGAAAAGUCCUCAAUACAGUUUGAUAAAAACAAAGAAGGAAGGAGACGUCUUUCAUGUGGCUAUCAUUUUGAUCAAAAUAUUGUGUCAAAGUUUUGACCAAAAAGCAUUCAAAAAAUGCUACAAGACAAGGAAAGAAAGGAAAUUUUCCCAAUCUUCAAUCUUCAAAUCUGCCCCGUGAAGAUUCAAAAAACACUGGCCGUCCCAAAUUUAUAGAGGAGGAAAAACUCACUGUCAAAAUUUCCAAAUCAAUUGAGAAAUUCACUCACAUGGCAACCUUUACAUUAAACACCUAAAGACAUGGUCAAGGCCAGUCAAAUAAAUCUCUAUAUGGAAACAGAGAUGCCGAAAGGUGAUAAUUACACAUUAACGCACCAAAAACCCAAUCAAGUAUGGUAGACAUGAAAAGUACGUUACUACAAAUUUCAAGGGGGCAAUUCUCACCUUUGGAGCCAUGAAUCAACACUUGUUUUCAAAGUACUGCAAAAUAGUUUGUCGAACAACUAAUCGAAGAGAUAUUGUUGCCUGAAACUCCUUUUUGCUUUGAAUUUUUGCUCCACAAAAGAAUCACAAGCCAGGUAGUAAGAGCAAGAGAAUAAUGCAGCAGAUAAAUGAAGGAGAUUAUGACCUGCACAAGAAAGAAACCUCUGCGAUUUAGAAGGAAAAGAGGAUAAAUUGGAGCAAUUCAAAAGAGUUUGAACUCCACCAAUCUUACCCAUCUUCAUUUGGAAUUCAACGGUUAAAAAAACCCAAAAGGGAAUUUCAAAAAAAAAACGCUACGAAAUCAACUCGAGCCUAAGUAUUGCAGAACUACUUUUUGCUCCUGGUGGAAGAACACCAUGUGUUAGAGCCAAGGAAAAAGAGGAUUCCUUUGAAGCCAUCUCGCAAGGGGGGUUGAAUAAACUUUACCCCUCACGUGGGAGUCUACUCACAAGAAGCAAAAGUGAGGUUGUUGAAAUUAGAGGUCCCAUUGGAACUGGGAAGCUUUAAAAUCAAAUAAUACAAAAACAAGGAAAAGAAAGUUAAGUAUAUUGUCAGAAAACUUGGGUCAAAUGGGUUCAAGUUCCCAUAUUUUAGAGGGUUGAAAGUUCAAAGAGGAAUAUGUAAAAAUGGGCUGCUUUGACAGAACCUGUGUGAGGUAAAUCCUGUGAAUGACCCAGAGAAAAUGUUGUGUGAAUGACCUAGAGAAAAUGUUGCCUUUAUUACAACUUCAAAUGUGUUUCUCUACACAAAGAAGGGAAAAUAUAUACAAUGAGUUUAAAAACUCUAAAGGAAGAAAAGUGCUCCAUAUGCUUUUAUAAAGCUAAAUGUGGCUUGCUUUUCCUAACGCCACAUGAAGCCCUGCUUGGACUUGGAAAUCCAAGUCUACAAGGAGAAGAAACAGGAAGCCUGCAAUAUUCCUAAAUUAAUUGGGAAUUUAUGCUUACAUGGAAACCAAAAGGAAGAAAAUAAGUUAUUUCAAAGACUUUGCUUCAAGCAAAAAAAAAAAAAAAACAAGUGGCUGUGUUUAUUUAUUUCUUAAAAGUUUGUUGGAUCCCAAACAAAGAAAUGGAGAAAGGAAAAAGGUACAGCAAAAGAAGAAAACAAACUUGACGUGUUAAUCACAUGGACUUUACGAAUUACGCUGGUUUGAUUCCGUUAAGGAUAUGUAGGCAAUCAGAUAUCAAUUUUAGACGCAACCAUGAAAUCAAGACGAAUCCCUGGUUUAUAUAAACUAAAUUCACUUCUGCUGCUUUGACCAAGUAAUUACAAAUUCUACGAAGAGUAAAAGAUAAGUCUGGAAAGCACAGUUCCUAGAUUUCCAAUUAAUGUAUGCUGCUCAUGCAACGAAGCCGAAGAAAAGUCUCAAAUGGCAUGAAGCCAUGUCAAAAACUAAAUGGCACAAAGCCGCUUCAAAUGGCAUAAGGCCGGUUCAAAUUACAAAUGGCACGAAGCCACAUCAAAUUUCAAAUGGCAUGAAGCCGCAUCAAAUCCAAAAGACAUGAAGCAGUAUCAAAUGCUCCAAUGGCUUAAAGUCCUCGCCCGCAUGAAGUAAAACUGCAUAAGGCAUUAAAUGCUCCAAUGGCUUAAAGUCCUCGCCCGCACGAGCUAAGACUACACAAGGCAUCAAAAGCUCCAAUGGUUUAAAGUCCUCGCCCGCAUGAGCUAAAACUGCACAAGGCAUCAAAAGUCCAAUGGUUUAAAGUCCUCGCCCGCAUGAGCUAAAACUGCAUAAGGCAUCAGUUGCUCCUUGCCUACACAAGCUAAAACUGCACAAGGCAUCAAACUCCAACAAAACACACAAGGAACUACGAGUGACUUGAUCCAUCAACGAGGGUACGUAGGCAAUCUAGGGCUCUACCUAGACGAAGUCACAAAAUCAAAUAAACACCCAAAUCCCCAAGUUAUGAUUUAUUCAUAUUAUAAUCAAAGGGUAUUCCUUUCCAAAUGAAGGGUUGUAAUUAAUAGGCGCGUAGCCUAGAAUAGGUCGAACUCGAAUUAAUAAAACCCUCUUCGAAAAACAUCAACAGCAAGCCUAGAGAGCUACGUAUAAGGUCCAAUGACACCAAAACGGUGUUGUUCCACGAUUUGUUACCACACAGCUGGGCUUCAGGCCAACACGAUCGUGCUGUGGUGGUACCACGGUGAUGCCACAAUUUUCCCUUUUUCUUCUUUUUUUUUUCUUCGAAUAUCUAGGGUUAAAACCCUAAUUACUUCUAAAUUAAUUUUGAUUCUUUGACUCACAAUUCCACAUAGCAUAUAUGGGAAAUGACACACCUCGAUCCCGAUGUCUUUGGGACAUCGGGAUGGUCACGUGCUGGCCGACACCCGAAGGGUGACGAAAGCCAUUUAAUUUAAGUAAAAGCUCAGAAAUAAGCUAAAACAGGCAGAAGGAACUAGUAACACAAUACUAAAGUUCAACUGCUAAUUAAUAAAAUUAGGAUCAUAACACCAGUUCAGAGCAUACAUCUAUUACAGAGUACAAACAGAAUUCAAGAUAGAGAUGUGCUAUAUUACAAUAGAUGUCGAAGCAGAGGAAAUAUAACACUGGAUCACUGGUAGGGAAAUGCCUCGUAGCUUAAAUCGUAAUCCUCAUUCGUAGGUCCUGAAGGGGGCGCAAAACAAACAUGAGUGGACCAAUUUGAUAUAAAUAUAAUAAAACAGUUAUCAACAUACUAACCCCCAAAUUUAUGAAAACACAUAUAUAAUGAAAAACAUAGGUUUUCCGAAACCUAGCAUGAUUUGCAGUAUCUCAAAUUCAUAACUUGUAUAAGUAAUAAACACUAGUGAUUUGUCCGAUAACCCCCAGGCCCCAUGCCGGCUCCCCGUCUCUGAGCAGACAGUCAGAGGAAAAUACACUACAGACCCUUUGCCGUCUCCCCGUCCCUGGUCUUAAAUGCCAGAGGAAACACCCUUCAGGCCCUAUGCCAACACCAAACCAUCGCCCGGGACGAACUGGAAUCUAUCCCUAGGUCCCGUAGUGGAAAGGACCACUAUGUAAGUACAAAACCAUUGAACAUAUCUAUAUUGAAAAACAAAUUCAUAGUAUAAAGUCAUCUAUCAUCUAUACUAUAAAGAGGUGUUCUAAACAUGUUCUAAAUAUCAUAUCGUCAUCCAUCAGAUAUUAAAAACAUGGGUUAUAGGAAAAAUAGUAAUAAUUCAAUCUAGCCUCAGUAAGCAUAUUAUCUCAUAAAGUACUUCAUAAAACAUAAGUAUUAAAUCAUGCUUUUCAUGUAUGCAUUUCUAUUAUUAAAACAUGCUUUUGAAGGUGUCCACUCACCGUACACCAAUGGUGCAAGGCUGUACCAAAAAUGUAUAACAGAAUCAUCGUUAAUAAUUGCACAUAUUCACAUAAAGGAGUACAUUUAGUCAAACUCUAUUCAAACGAUUGAAUUUGGGAAAACAGACUUCAAAAUGGGUCCAGGACGUCGAAAUUGGCCUAGGAAAGGUCCUGAACGAAACCCCAAAAAGUCAACUCAAAAAGUCAAUGUUGACCGUUGACUGGUCAAAGUCAAAGUCAAAGUCAACGCUGACCGUUGACCGAGUUAACUGGUCAAAGGUCAAAGUCAGACUUGACUCAGGGUUUUGGGUUGGAUCAGGCCUAGGUUUAGGAAAGGGCUGAAAGCCCACUUUCUAAAUGGCCCAAGGCCUUUAUUCCUAAAACAAAAAUUAGAUAAAACAUUAAAAGGUUUUGGGUUUGACUAAUGGGCUACGGGCCCUAAACCUAAUGGCCCGAAGGCCUUUUUGGUUUUAAACAAUUUAAUGUAAAACAAUUAAAACAAACUUAAAACGAACUGGGCUAGGGUUUUGGGCUUGACUCCCCACGGGCCUAAGGCCCGCUAGUCCUAGAUGUUGGAGAUAUGCCCUGAAAGUCAAUCUUUGGAAGAAACCUUUCAAGACAAUGAAUGAGUGUAUAGAUGACUCUUAUACAUCAAAAGGCAAAGAUACUAAUUAGGACUAUCUCAGUAAAUUAUAUAUGUCCUAAAUAGUGGAUCCAUGGACAAUGGAUCGAUGUAAGAAGUAAUCUAAUGAUGUUAGACUACAGAGACCUUCUUCACAUAACCAUCAUGUCCAAAAAGGUUCAUGUUCAUAUGAUUGUCAGAGGGAUACUGACAAUGCAAAUACCAGUACAUACUAUGUCCCCUUCAAUUGGAAGGAUGGGAAGUCUCAUCCCAUUCGUGUAAUGACACUAAGACAGGUAUGUAGGUGCUCAUUAAGGGAAUGAGUUCACUGAACACAAUCAAACGAGAGUACUUGCAUGGAGGUCUACUCACAUGUCAAGCAAGUAACUCUAAUGGUUGGAAUAAUGUAAGUAGUCCUUUGACCUGAGGCAUCAUAGUUGUCUUGUGGUUAGGUCCUUGAUCUUUGAUUAUGUCAAAGUCACUCCAUCCGCGAGUGUCCACGGCAUAGUUGGGGUUAAGCCACUUAGCCAUGGAGGCGAGUAAAUGCGCAACAAGGGAUCUCUAAUCCUCGUUAUGAGAGGAUGAAUACUCUAAGAUAUGAUUCGGGAAUCUUCGGCCGAAGUGUCGAGCGUAAUAAAGGAAAGCGUUCCUAUACGACUCAAUUGAAUCAUAUAACAUGGAAUAAUCACAUUAAGGGUUUGACAUAAUAUAUCCAUACCCUAAUAAUGUGAUUGAGAGUAUUGUAUUAGAUAAUGAUCGAAUUACAUUGUAAUUCCAACUGAAUAGGUUCUCCGAACAAAUUCUACAUUAGCUUGGGUAGCCAUGAUAUAUGGUUAGAUGUCACUCAUGGCUUGUGAGUUCUUCUAGAUGAUUAAAAUAAGUAGUCGUCAAAGAAGAAGGAGAAUUAAAAGUAAGUUUUAAUUCACUAAGUGAUUGGAUUAAACAUAAUCAAUUGGAUUGGUGCCAAUCAUCUCACUGCCUUGCUAAUUAGAACCUAAAAUGAUUGUACACCGAUACACUCUUGUAGCGAGACAACUAUUGGAUGAUGGAAAUAAUUAAUUGGAUUAAUUAAGUGUUGUGAUUGAUUAGAAAGUCUAAAGAAAUCAUAAAAGCGAUAAAAGAUCGUUUUGGACUUAAAGAAAAGUUCGGGUUAAUAUGGGCCCAUUAAGCCCAAACCCAUUGGGCUUUUAUUUAAGCAUAGGAUGACUUGAAAUGAUAAAAGCCCAAAGCCCAAACAACACUAAAGGGGCCGGCCAAAUAAAGGGAAAGAGAGAGAGAGAGAAAGUCAAGUUGUUGACUUGUUUCUUUGUGUUAUAAAAGGAACUUUAUAGUGAAAAGUUUGAUUAGGGUUUUUGUUCGUUAACUUUCACCAAAAUUGAGAAAACACAAUCUCUCUCUCUACUCACAAGGCCAGCCACCAAGAGGAGUUCUAGCUAAUCAUCUUUUCUUCUUUUGGUCAUUCCUCCAUCCAUCUCACUACACUAGUGGGUGUGGAUCUUUAGAGGUCUUCUACCUUGGAGACUAAAGGAGAACCAAGGAGCACUCAUUCUAGCAAAGUGGAGGAGGCAAUGAGGAAGGCUAGGCUCAAUGAGUUCCAAAAGCAAAGAACUUGGAGGUGGUCCAUCCUUGGUCUCAAGUCUAGAUCAAGAGGUAUAAAACUAUACCUUCACUUUGUUCUUCAAUAAUUUCUUAGAUGCAUCAAAUAUGGACCUAUGCUUCUUGAAGGGGAUUUGCAUGACGAUAGCUUUGAUAUUUUGUGAUAACAUGCUUCCGUUGCGUAUGUAUAUGAAUUUUGAAUUGUAUAUGCAUGCUAGUCACUAGAAAUCCCACAUAAAUCUCAUUAUUUCCCUUCACUAGAAACGGCCUGAAGGGCCGAGUCUCGCCGGGAACGAACACCGGAGCUUCCACAGCUCCGACCGACUGCAAACAGGGGUUUUAGACCCCGAUCUAGGUACCAAAACAAAAAGCAAGACGAGAGGAGUAUUUCUAUACCUUCCUUUCACCUUGGAACGGCCGAAGAUGGCCGGAAAGUCCCUCGACACUCCCGAGGUCGCCGGAGAUGGGUGUGCCUACACCAGAGUUCGAUUUCAUCCAAAAAAACCUUGGAAAAACACGAGAUACAACUAAUUAAAACGCAAUCUCACCAGAUUCAAGAACGAAAUAGAGGGAUUUAAGGCUUACCUAACCGAAAAAUACCAAAAUCUCGCCAUGUUCCUUUCCGGUUUUCUGGGUUCGCAAACACGAGAGGGAGAGAGAGAGCAGGACGAUAUUGAUGAUAGUGAUGGUUCUUCCUCGCGUACGCGUGUGUCUCUACGUGCGUGAUUUAUCUGAAGAGAGGGAGAGAAAUAAGAAAGAUCCGAGAGGGAGAGAGACGAGACAGACAGAAAAGAAGAAGAAGAAUGAAGGGGUUCACGGGGGGGACAGAGAGAGAAGUGAGGGGAGUAAAAGGGGUGCUGCCACGUGGCAGCUUGAGAAAGAAAUAAUCCAAUGUUUUCAAAUUCUGAUUGGUAGUCAAAAAGGACCAAAUUGAAAGAUUUAAAACAUUUAGGGGUAAUUACAUACAUAUAUCUUUAUAAAUGGGGGGUGGGUGUUACACGAAAUGCAUGAAUAAUUAUAUAUAUUGACAAAAUAUAUGAACAUAUAUACGAUAUAUAUAAUUUGAAGGAAAAUAUAAAUAUAAGGGGUUCAUGCAUCAAGGUUUUUUUCAUAUAUCUUAAUUUAUUUUAGAAGAACUUGAUUGGCAGACAACGAUUGAAAGCCUUUGAAUUUGUAGAAGAUAGCCUCCUUCUACGAUCCUUCAGUCCCUUAGCUUCUGGCAAGAGCGUGCUGAUAACGUGUUGUAGGCCUAUUUAACUGAGCUAUCUAAGGAAUAGAGAGAGGGGGCCGAUGGCAACAAGAGAGAAAGAGAGAGAUUUAAUUAUGAGAUAUGUGUUGUAUCAGUCCCUUAUGCCUUUAUUUAUAGUGGUAGGAUGGGUAGAAUCCUUACCUUUUUAGUAUUACAUCUCUUAAUAGGUGAUCAACUCCUAAUGGUAACUGUAGACAUCGAAAUUUUGGUAAAUAAAUGUUGACCGAUAAAUCAAAGUUUCAACGCUCAUGUAUUACAUAAAUUUUACACGUAGCGUGUGAUUCGACGAAAAAUUGAAAUGAGUCAGAAAAGUCAUCAAACAGGACACGUGUCAACACCUGGCAGAAACGACUUAUUUCAUCUGGAAUAUUAUAUUCAAAAUUAGGCCUUGGAAAAUUCUAUAAAUAGAAGCCAAUUUCAUUCAUUUGGGGAGAACCAAAAUCAUUAGGCAAAAUUCUUGAAGCUCUGAAGCUCUGAAACUCCGAAGUUCUCAAGCAUCCAGGUUCCCGAAGAAUCAAGAAAACUCUCUUCAUUCUUCAUUCUUCGUUCUUCAUUCAUCGUUCAUCCUAAGAUCAAGCCCCAACGGCCCUUUGGAUCAACAAUCAUCCACCAAUUCAAGAUCAAGCCCCGACGGCCCUUGAAGAAAGUGUUCUUCGUUCUUCGUUCAUCGUUCUUCCAAGAUCAAGCCCCAACGACCCUUUGGAUCAACAAUCAUCCACCAAUUCAAGAUCAAGCCCCGACUGCCCUUGAAGAAAGUGUUAUUCAUUCUUCGUUCAUCGUUCUUUCAAGAUCAAGCCCCGACGACCCUUGGAUCAACAAUCCACCAAUUCAAGAUCAAGCCCCGACGACCCUUGAAGACAGCACCAUCGUUCAUCAUCCGUUCAUCUUAAGAUCAAGCCCCAACGGCCCUUUGGAUCAACAACGUCGACAAAUCCACACAUCCAACCGUUCUUCAAGAUCAAGCCCAAAAUCCUUUGAAGAUCCGUUCAUCACUGUUAUUCAAUAUCAAGCCUCAACGGCCCUUGAAGAAACAUUCAUCCUCAAGAUCAAGCCCCAACGGCUCCUUGAAGAUUCGCUCAAAUCCACCUUCAAAGAUCAAGCCCACAGCCCUUGAAGAAACUUCCAACAGUUCAUCCAAAAUCAAGCAUCGACGGCCCUUGGAUCAACGAAACAUCCACAAAUCAACACCUUAUGGAGAUCAAAUCAGAGGAUCAAAUUUAAGAGAGAUUGUAACCCAAAACCAUCAAAUACAAAUAUUAUUUUGUGCACGUUGUUCUUGUCUCUUUCCUUUCAGGAAAAUUUCAUGUUCACAAAUUUGGCACACCCAGUGGGACUAUCUCUACCUCUCAUCUCUUUCUCCAUUCAAGAAAUUCAAGCACACUUCCAAAAUCAAUGGCAUCAAGCAAAAGACAAGCCGUUCUCAUAAAGGGAAAAAGCCUAAGCAUUUCCGCCAUGAACGGAGCAUCCAUUGGCGCCACAACUACUCUUCAACAAACCACUUCAAAGUCGGUGUCGUUGAGGGAGCAAGUGGAGCAUCAAAGACGCAAGCCCGUCAUCAACCGAACCUCGCUGGGGGUAUCGAAACAUGUCGUUGAGGCACAUCAGAUGACAUCCCAAAGCAGCCAACAACGUUCUUCGUCAGCAUCCUAGAUGUCUAAAGGAAAGUCACGUCUAUUGGUUGCACAAGUCAUGACCAUCGGCGUUACCUCCAUCGAAGAACAACUGGCUCAAAUGAAUGAAGCGAUUGCAAGGCUAACACAGAUUGUGGAAGAAAAAGACUUGCAAAUUGCAGCACUAAUCAACCGACUGAAGGCGCAGGACGGCGAGAAACCUGACCCAGAGGAUGAUCCACUAAAGGGAGGAGCUGGCGAAGAAGAGGAGCCUCCGGUGGAGAAAAUUGAUGUGAAGCCGGAGCCAGACCAAGCAGCGGCGCUCAUGGGAUCUCUCUCCAUCCAGCAGCUGCAGGAGAUGAUCACCAGCACCAUCAAGGCACAGUACGAAGGGAGCUCACAUACCUCCUUGUUCUACUCGAAGCCCUACUCCAAGAAGAUUGAUGCCCUGAAGAUGCCAAGGGGUUAUCAACCACCACAGUUCAUGCAAUUUGAUGGAAAGGGAAACCUGAAACAGCACGUUGCCCACUUUGUUGAAACUUGCAACAAUGCAGGGACCAAAGGGGACUACCUCGCCAAGCAGUUUGUGAGCACGCUGAAAGGAAACGCCUUUGAGUGGUACACGAACUAGAGCCUGAGUCCAUUAAUAGCUGGGAGCAAUUAAAGCGAGAAUUCCUCAACAGCUUCUACAGCACCCGCGGCACUGUAAGCAUGCUAGAGCUAACAAGCACAAAGCAAUGGAAUGACGAGCCAGUCAUUGACUACAUCAACAGAUGGCGCACUCUAAGCCUCGACUAUAAAGACAGGCUAUCAGAAACCUCUUCAAUCGAGAUGUGCAUCCAAGGCAUGCAAUGGGGUUUGCAAUACAUCCUUCAAGGCAUCAAACCACGGACCUUUGAAGAGCUAGCCACCCGCGCCCAUGACAUGGAGUUAAGCAUCGCCCAUCAUGGGAAGAAGGAACCGAUCACCGACUACAAGAAUGACAAAGUUCUUAAGACAAAGGUAGAAAAGGCUACGUGGAAAUCCACCAAGGAAGCAAUGACGGUCAACACAGCUCCCGUCAAAAUCCCUACACGAGGCAAGGCGAUUCAAGCCGAAGCUUUUCGUGAUCAAGAGAUGCGUAGACGCACUUUGAAUGAGCUUGAGGAGAGGACUUAUCCAUUCCCUGACUCUGAUGUGGUGGCCAUGUUAGAAGACUUGCUGGAAAAGAAGGUGAUUGGUUUGCCUGAGUGCAGACGGCCAGAAGAGAUGAAUCGCACCAACAGUCCAAGGUACUGUAAAUUCCACCGCUUCAUCAGUCAUCCGACAAAAAAAUGCUUCGUGCUGAAAGAUCUCAUCAUGAAGCUGGCUCAGAAAGGAAUCAUCGAGCUAGAUCUUGACGAUGUGGUGAAAUCAUCGAGCUAGAUCUUGACGAUGUGGUGAAGUCAAACUAUACCACCAUCACUUCUGGCUCUUCCGACUCAAAGUUUUCAACUUAACCGCUGGGGGCAUCCUCCAAGACAAGCAAAGUUGAAGGAUGGACUCAAGUCACUCCUAAGAAAUUGCACAAGAAUCAUACGUCUCCUCCACAAGUCCGCCAAUCAGAAAAGGGGCAAAGCAGCUCUUGUCAACCUUCAAAGCAACAUGAACGUGUUGAAAAUGAUGAAAUUACCACACAAAGAUCGUCCGUUGCCAUCACGAUGCGCGACUUCUUACCCGAAAACUUCUUCAAUCACGCGGUCAAGGCUCCUUACUAUGAAGAUUGUGAGGAACGCCUCUCCAAAAUUGCUUGACAAAUUCACCAAUUCUCCUCGCUCGCAUGAGUCUAAAUUGCAUGGCACAAAGCUCCUGGUCUGCACGAGCAUAAAAGGCAACACCAAUGCUCCUUGUCCGCAAGAGCCUAAACUGCAGGACACCAAAGCUCCUGGUCUGCACGAGCAUAAAAGGCAACACCAACGCUCCUGGUCUGCACGAGUAUAAAAGGCAACACCAACGCUCCUAGUCCGCACGAGCCUAAAAGGCGACAUAACAAACGCUCCUUGCUUGCACGAGCCUAAACUGCAUGGCAUAACGCUCCUGGUCUGCACGAGCAUAAAAGGCAACACCAACGCUUCUGGUCUGCACGAGCAUAAAAAGCGACACCAACGCUCUUGGUCUGCACGAGCAUAAAAGGCAACAUCAAUGCUCAUGGUCUGCACGAGCAUAAAAGGCGACACCAAUAGCUCAUUGCUUGCACGAGUUGAAACUGCAAAACGGAACCAAAAGAAAAUACCAAAAAAAAAAAAUAUAUAUAUAUAUAUAUAUAUAUAUAUGUAUUUGAACUACGUUACGACUUGAUCUCUUCUUUGGAGGGGUACGUAGGCAGCUCGAAUAUUCAAAAUUUGAGUUCAGUCAAACCAAAAUAAGUAAUAAAGAUUUUAUUAAAAGUUUGAUGCUAUUACAAUUUCUUUGUACAAAAAAAAAGAGAUACAUGUUUUAUGUAUUUACAAAAAAAGAAAUACAUAUGUUUUAUGUAUUAAAAAAAAUAUAUAUAUAUAUAUUUAUAUUUAUAUAAGUGGCCACAAGAAGCAACCCCUUUAGCCAAAAUUCUACAAGCGGCUCCCAGAGCCCAAUCUGUCUGCAAGUCGAAAACUACUUCUCCAAGGUUCAGGACACAGCCCACACUAGUUUUGGCCUAAUCAAAGGUCAGAGUGAGGUGGGCAUCUUAAAUCCUCCAGAAUCCAAGGGUGCGGAGCAAUAAGAGAAAGAGGCCCUUGUUUGCCCUCUCGAUGUUCCUCCCAAAAUCCUUGUAAGUGCAGCAGCAGAUCUCGCUUCAUUUUCUGCACCUCCGUCACGUCAAUAAGAAAGAUCCUUCACAUCCAGGAAGACUAAUGUGGCAAUCAAAUCAGCUCCAAGUUCUGAGAGGUCAUUUGUGACGAGCCCAACGUUGACCUCACUGGAAGGUACCGCGGAGACAUCGGCUCUGAUCUCCAACUCGAGAGGAAUACCAUGAUUGAUCAGGUCUCGACGCUCGAGCUCAUCAGAUACCACCUUCUCGGUGAGUUCUCACCAAUGAAGAGCUGCACCACAAGGUCCGAUUCAUCAAUAUCAUCCGCACGAGGAAGCAUAAUCUCGACGCCAGCCUUGAGCCUCGCUCUUCGCCGUGAGUUCUUUCGGUUUCAAAACCUUGUCCCUGUCAAUGCCAUCACUUCUGAAGAUUCCGACGGUGAUGGUGCCACCAAAGGCUCUGUCUCUUUCACUGCAGCUACAACUUCACUUGACGAUGAAGAAGAUGCGACUUUGGGAGUUGGAUACUGCCUAAAGCUCCCCUCCUCGCCCAGCGUUGCUCCUCGUCUUCUGCUGCAACUCCUCGACUCCAAGCUCAUCUGCAUGGCACAUCACGAUCUUGUCCGUCUUUUCCUCUGCAAGGCAGCAAAAAAUGCAGUGGUUGUGCAAUGUUGGCGGUGCAAGGCAACAAGAAUGCAGUGGCAGUGCAAUGGUUGUACAGUGGCGGUGCAAGGCAGCAAAAAAAUGCAGUGGCUGUGUAAUGGCGGUGGUGCAAGGCAGCAAAAAAAUGCAGUGGCAAGCAGCAACGACAAUGCAUUCUGGCCACCAUGAUCAAAAUCGACAAAGAACUUCAAAUAAUCGCCGUCAAACGACUAGCCGGUCAUGAGCUCAACGCUUUACAUUCUGCCUCAAGCUCUAGCAACUCCACCAUCUCUACAGCUCUCCCCUUCUGCCCAUCAACUCCAAGCAGCAACGGCAAGCGACAAGGUCAAUGUGCACGGCAAAGGCACCACCGAGAGAAAACUGUGAUCAAAGGCACUACACAGCAUUGUUGCAGUCUUUUGCACAACCCCAUACGGUAAAAGUGACGCACUAUGACAAACUCCAAGCACCAAGACUCACGGCAACGUCACCACCAAGGAAAGUUAUAACCAAAAGGCACUACACAACAUAAACUCGCUGCAGUCUUUUGCACAACCCCACAAGGUAAAAGUGACGCACUGUAACAAGCUCCGAGCGGUAGCAGACAGUACAGCGACUGCAAUGCAGCAAGGACAGCAAAACCUGAGCAACCUGGUUCGAUGCACCUUCUUCUUCCUCUCUACUGUCGGUCUGGUUGAAAGUUAUGGCUCCGCUGCAAUGCGAUGAAAUAGGAGAAGGCAGUAAUCCUUUUAUAAAGCCACAAAAGGCAAGCAUUCAUGCUCCUAAGUUCACAGGAAUAAAAAAAAAGAAUUAAAAAAAAUUUAAAAGUAUAAUGGUGCACGGCACCAUAGAAAAAAAAUAUGUAUGAGGUCUUUGGUGCAUAGCACCAUAUUAAAAAAAUAAUAAUAAAAAUAAAAAGGUGAAAGGUCUUUUGGUGCUUCACGCACCAUAAGGAUAAAAAAAAUAAUAAAAAAUAUAUAAGAGCAAUUAGAAUGGUGCAUCAGGCACCAUAUAUAUAUAUAUAUAUAAGGCCAAUUAGAAUGGUGCAUCAGGCACCAUCUUAAAAAAUAAUAAUAAAUAAUAAAAGUUUUUUUUAGGUGCUCCACGCACCAUAAGAAUUAAUAUAUAUAUAUAUAUAUAUAUAAGAGGGAGGGAUGGUGCAUCAGGUAUCGUCCGACGAUAUAAAAAAAAAAUAUAUAUAUAUAUAUAUAUAUAUAUAUGUAUGUAUGUAUGUAUGUAUAUAGCAACAAAAAAACACAAACGCAUUGAGAGAAAUAAAGUCCAUUUUAUUUAUUUUUCUGGAAAUUUUACAUAAAUUUGCAUUAUACAUACCUAAAAAAAUAAAAAAUCAAAUCAAAUUUACAAGAAGGGAUCUUCAAGGACGAUCAGGUGGCGCCUCACCACUCGGCAGAGCUCCAAAAAGAAGAGGCGCCAGAGGUUGACUGUUUGAAGCCACACCACUCGGCGGAACUCCAGGAAGAAGAGGAGCCGGAGGUUGAUCAUGUGGAGCUUCAUUACGCGGUACAACCCCAGAAGACGAAGGCAAAUGUUGUUGGAACAAACCCACAAACCUAUGAUGAUCAAGAAAAAUCUGGCCAUCAGAUUCCUGCAUCUGGUCAAUCUUCCUCUUCAUGUUUGUAGCAUAGUUAUGUGCGAGCCUGUGCAACUGUUUAUUCUCAUGCUUGAGCCCUCUAAUCUCCUGUUUGAGACUCAUCACUUCAGCCGCCAAUGAUUCAACUUGACGGGUUCGAGCAAAUAGGCGUUGGGCCAUAUUAGACAAAUAACCUGCACAUUGCACACUGAAAGCCAGAGAAUCCUUAACAGCCAACUCAUCAGACCGUUUGGAAAGCAGUAUGUUAUCUUUGGGAGUGACAAGGUUCCUGGCCACCACUGCAGCGGUCAUAUCAUUCUUCAUCACCGAAUCCCCAACGGUAAGAGGACCAGUAGGGGAUAUGAAGGAUGGGCACCAUAUGUUGUCUGGAGAAGGCGGGACUGCCUCUUCACCAAGGUUCAAAUCAAAACGACGGUCGGAGGGUCCAGACAUUUUCAAAUGUGUUAAAAAAAGGAGGUCGGACGAAUCAAGAUCUUAGAAGUGCAAGAAGGGAGUUUCUACAAGCGAAAAUUCAAGUGUGCUUUGAAACAAACUGCAUGCCUCUAUAAAAAAUCAGCACUCGACGGGAUUUCAGAGAUCGAAGAGGCGAGCUCAGAAUUCGAAGAGGCCAAUUCAAAAAUCGAAGAGGCAAGCCUAGAAAUCGAAGAGGCAUCUUGGUUUUUCAAACGUGUCAGCAUCUGUCACACGCAAACUCAACUUUGCGGAAAUCACGGGCAAUUUGUCGAAGUGCCGAUCCUAGAUAUCGAAGAGGCGCCAAUCUUUUUCAGCCUCGUCAACACCUGUCACAUGCACACUCAGCUGUCACAUGCACACUUUGCGAAAAUUACGGACAAUUUGUCGAAGAUUUCUGAUGAAGAAGAAAACACGUGAAGCCAUACUGAACAAUCACUCAAAUGGUUGCCACACGAGUGAAAGAAUAGUACCUCUACAUGUAUUAAAGAACUUCCUAUAACUGUCCACAUUCACCCUCCAUAGCAAGGCAGACAUACAGAACAUUUCUUCAUCUCUAAGAAUGUUUUCCCAACGAAGGCUCUCGAGUCACUCAGUGUUCCUUAUUCCUUGGGGUACCUCUGCAAGCAAAUAACACCAAAGCAAAAGUAUCUCAUAUCACCAAGAUAGAAAGAAAGAGUAUCUCAUAUCAUGCUUUCUCCCUGUCAUUUCCUUUGUCCUUGUUCUUACCUACAAAGACAAGGAUAAAGAAAACAAUAUGCCAGAACCUCCACUCAAACUCGGGUAAGGAAUCGACUACCUGGAACCUUUGCCUGGUUGCUUACCUGGCAUUGCUCUCGAGUACUCGUCUUCCACUGCUACUGUACUUCCAAAGAAGCUGCCACAUCUGCCUGAAGAACAGAUAAGGCAAGUGAAAAUGAUACCUUGCAGCAUGUGGAGACAACGUGCAGAAGAAACAAGCAAAGAAGAAUGCAGCAUGCACAGUCAACUCAGCAGAAGGAGUAUGAGUUGAGGAACUCGAGGAGAUGCCACAUUUGCCUGGAGAACAGAUAAGGCAAGUGAAAAUGAUACCUUGAAGCAUGUGGAGACAACGUGCUGAUUUCCUUCAAAAUCAAGUCUCCCCUUCCCCGCACAAUCGACCAACCCAGCAGAAUGAGUCUGAGUUGAAUCCAAGAGCUCGAGAAGCUUCAACAACAUAUUGACGGCACCAUCGCCAAAGAGCAAAGCCUCGAUAUGCAACACUGUCAAAUUGCCACCACUUCUUUGAAAGCAAGAGUAUUUCAUAUCAUGCUUUCUCCCUGUCCUUUUCUUUGUCCUUGUUCUUACCUGCGGGACAAGGAGGAAAAAAGCAAUCAGCCAGCACUUGGUGUCAAACUCCCAGUCAGGAACCGACUGCUUGGAACCCUUCCUUGAUUGCUUACCUAUCACUACUCUCGAAGUACCCAUUAUCUCAACAUCUUAUGCUUCCAGAGAAGAUACCACAUCUGCCCGAAGAACAGAUAAGGCAAGGGAAAAUGAUACAUUGAAACAUGUGGAGACAAGCACAACAAAGCAUGUGCCGAUUCAUCUGCUACUUCUUCAAAAUCAAAAGUAUCUCAUAUCAUCAGGGUUGCAAUCACUCUGGGUGGAAGACUCGUUUUGACCCUCAAAUUCUUGGGUCGACUCGCUAGGCGUUGUGGGCUACACGUGCCAAUUCACCACCCUUGAAUAAAAUCCUUAAAGAUCAAGUCACCGACUGGAAGAAGAGCCCAUCAAUCUUAAAGAUCAUACCGUUGACCAAACUGCUCAUGUGUGAAUUAGAAAGAUUGAACAAAACAACAAGUCGUCACCUUCACCUCGUACCUGCUUGCCAUGUGUUCGAGUCAACCUUCAAGAAUCAAGCCUUAAACAGCCCUGGAAGAAAGCCUCCAGCCAAAUUCAAGAUCAAGCCUCGACAUCCCUUGAGGAAAUCACAAGUCCGAUUCAAGAUCAAGCGUCCACCACCCUUGAAUCAAAUCCAGUUCAAGAAUAAGCUAAGGAAAGUCAACAAUUGGAGGAAUCCAGAAAAUCCUCCAACCCAGUUCAAGAUCGAAGCUGUGGAAAGUCAACAAGCGUAAAAAACAAAUACGUGCCAUUUCAUCCACUACCAAAGCCAAAGAUCCUCUACCACAUGAAGCUCCUUGUGGUCCAAUUUCAACCUUCAAGAUCAAGCCUCAACGGCCCUUGAAGAAAUCUCCAGCCUAAUUCAAGAUCAAGCCUCAACGGCCCUUGAAGAAAUCUCUAGCUCGAUUCAAGAUCAAGCCUCGACGGCCCUUGGAUCGACAUCUACAUUAAGGGACUUUAAAACGCAUCUCCUACACGCGACAAGCACAUGUAUACGACGCGCCUUGAAGUGGGGGCAUUUGUAGACAUCAAAAUUUUGGUAAAUAAAUGUUGACCGAUAAAUCAAAGUUUCAACGCUCAUGUAUUACAUAAAUUUUACACGUAGCGUGUGACUCAAUGAAAAAUUGAAAUGAGUCGGAAAAGUCAUCAAACAGGACACGUGUCAACACCUGGCAAAAACGACUUAUUUCAUCUAGAAUAUUAUAUUCAAAAUUAGGCCUUGGAAAAUUCUAUAAAUAGAAGCCAAUUUCAUUCAUUUGGGGAGAACCAAAAUCAUUAGGCAAAAUUUUUGAAGCUGUGAAGCUCUGAAACUCCGAAGCUUUCAAGCAUCCAGGUUCCCGAAGAAUCAAGAAAGCUCUCUUCAUUCUUUGUUCUUCGUUCAUCGUUCAUCCUAAGAUCAAGCCCCAACGGCCCUUUGGAUCAACAAUCAUCCACCAAUUCAAGAUCAAGCCCAGACAGCCCUUGAAGAAAGUGUUCUUGGUUCUUCGUUCAUCGUUCUUCCAAGAUUAAGCCCCAACGAUCAUUUGGAUCAACAAUCAUCCACCAAUUCAAGAUCAAGCCCCGACGGCCCUUGAAGAAAGUGUUCUUCGUUCUUCAUUCAUUGUUCUUCCAAGAUCAAGCCCUGACGGCCCUUGGAUCAACAAUCCACCAAUUCAAGAUCAAGCCCCGACGGCCCUUGAAGAAAGCACCAUCGUUCAUCAUCCGUUCAUCUUAAGAUCAAGCCCCAACGGCCCUUUGGAUCAACAACGUCGACAAAUCCACACAUCCAACCGUUCUUCAAGAUCAAACCCAAAAGCCCUUGAAGAUCCAUUCAUCACUGUUCUUCAAGAUCAAACCCAAAAGCCCUUGAAGAUCCGUUCAUCACCGUUAUUCAAUAUCAAGCCUCAACGGCCCUUGAAGAAACACUCAUCCUCAAGAUCAAGCCCCAACGGCUCCUUGAAGAUUCGCUCAAAUCCACCUUCAAAGAUCAAGCCCACGGCCCUUGAAGAAACUUCCAACAGUUCAUCCAAAAUCAAGCCUCGACGGCCCUUGGAUCAACGAAACAUCCACAAAUCAACACCUUACGGAGAUCGAAUCAAAGGAUCAUUUUAAGAGAGAUUGUAACCCAAAACCAUCAAAUACAAAUAUUAUUUUGUGCACGUUGUUCUUGUCUCUUUCCUUUCAGGAAAAUUUCGUGUUCACAGUAACUACAAGAAACUCCUAUAUAUACUAGGAUUUGCAUAAUUACAUUACUAAUCUGAUAGGAUUGCAACUAAUAUGAAAAAAAAAAUGGUAUUAAUAUUGCAUGGUUUCAAUGCGUUCCUCACAAAUGGGAAAAAAAGAUGUAAUAAAAAAAAAUUACUCUAACCUAAAAGUUAGCUUACUCAUCAAUCUAAUAUGGAAAGUAAAUUGAGAGUAGCAAUGUACUCAUUUAAAAUUGAAGAAAAAAAAUAUUAAACACAUGCUUAUGCUUUUGGAUCUUUUAAUCUAACUUUCUAUUAAGGGGAAACAACAUAUGUGAAUAAAACAAAUGUUAGUCAAUGGUUUUGGGUCUUUUUUCUAACUUUCUAUCUAGGGAAACAACAUUUGUGAUUAAAGCAAGUGAUUUAAUGAUUUAUAUCUUAGGGAUUAGGCUAGUCUUACCAUAGUAUACUUUAAAUAAUAUCGUUAAUAAUGCUAGUAUAGUAUGAGUGUAAUCGUGUAAUAAGAUAAUCUUAAAUUCUUAAUAGAAAGCGUAGCUUACAGAUAAGAUGCAUAUAUACCUUCCACCAAAUGCAAAAAAAGAAAUAGAGAUGCAAUGUAUUCAUAUCUCAAUACACUAAAAUGGACAUUAUUCAUAUCUAUUCUAUAAAGAAUACAAAUAUUCCACAUUUUUCGAAUAACGUAUAUUCACAAUAUGACUCGGGCUAAAAUGAAGUCUUGUCUAAUUCACAUUCGCCAUGUGGACAUGACGUGACAAAAUAAAAUGAACAUGGGCUAAAAUCAAAUAACAUGACUCCCAUAAACAAAUAAUGAAUGAUAUUGAGCCAACCCAACUGUAAGGUUGUGGGGUCGAAUAACACAAGCUUCACACUUGGUCAUAUCCAUCCAACCUAAGACGAUGUUCCAUCACGGUUGGAGGUUGU
rnacentral:lncRNA from 1 species